rnacentral:lncRNA from 1 species
ACCAACCCAGUGCCUGAUUCCAUGCCAGUGGGUUGGGUUAUUCAAGCUUUUUUUUAAGGAAUGUCUCAUGGCUCUUUAUUGCAAUAAGUUGAUGGUUACAUCGUUAAUUACAAGGGGCAUAAUAAACAUGGGUGGAUCACCAUCCCAGAAAACAGUAGAAGUUGAAUCAUAAGCAUAUGCCUAGCUAGACUAUGGGCCACCUUAUUUGCAUCCCUUGGACAAUGUUGGAAAGUGAUAUUACCUAUUCUCUGAGCGACCGCAAAACAUUCAGCCAUGACUACUGCAUAUGGGGUCAGAACCUCUGGCUCACCAUUACAGGUGAUAUUAUUUGAUCGAGUAUACCUUUCAGACGAAAUGAGAUCAUUUUUUAGAUAACCUUGUACAGAACAUUGUAUAAGCUGAUAGGUUGAUAUUGUGAAAUUUUCUUCAGACUGUCCACCUUGGCAAUAAGCACUAUGACGGUAUCAUUUCAUCCAUGAGGGAUGUUCUUUGAGUUGAUGACAUCAAGUACUUCGCUUGUCAAAACAUCACCAAUUAAAUGCUGACAUCUUUUAAAGAAAAUUGCAUGUAAGCCUCCGUACCUGGAGCUUUUGUAUCCCCAAUGGAAAAUAAGGCCUUUUUAACAUCUUCAACUGAAAAUGGCUUACCUAGUGCAUCAUUCAUCUCCCUUGUAACUCGAGGUACAACCUUAUCAAUUAAAUCUGGGUCCGGCCCUUCAAUUUCAGUAGCAAACAAAAGCGAAAAAUAAUCAUUGAUCAAAGGAUUCAGAUAGGCCGUGCCUUCACGCCAAUUCCCUUGCUCAUCUUUAAGAUGGUUUAUUCUGUUUUUCUUCUUUCAUGCAUACGCAAAAUUCUGAAAAUAUUGGGUAUUCCUAUCCCCGAACUUGAGCCAGCCAAUCGCACUGUGUGUUUGUGUUGUGCCCAUUGAAUUUCUUCACACUCUGGAAGCUUCUCGAUCUCUGCUGCAAGAACCUUAGAGCAACUCCAAUGGGGCGACCCAUUUCGUCCGCUGCCGUCCGUUUGGGUCGGCGCGGACAUAAAAGUCGGCCCAACGCACCGACCCAAAUGGUCGCGCGUCCGCUUUUCGUCCGCGUGUGACCCAUUUCCGGCCUAUUUUUGAGCCAGAUUUGCGUCGGCGCGGACAUGUGACGGACGCGUGCGCGCUCGCCUUCUCCUCCUCCGGGCCCGCUGGUCGGUGGCACAUUGGCCUUCCCCCACCCCCCAUCCAACAGCAACCCUCGCCCGCCUCCUUCGUCGCCGACGCCGCCGCCCAUUUUUGCCGGCGACUCUGCCAGCUGCCGCCGCCUCCACAUCCGUAGUAUAAGGGCCAUGUCAGGGCUUGCACUGUCAUACUAGAGGCCGUGGCGUCUCAAGAUCUCUGGAUCUGGCACUCUUUCUUUGGCAUGGCUGGAUCACACAAUGAUAUCAAUGUGCUUCAGCGCUCGCCGGUGUUUGCUAGGCUUGCCGAAGGCAACAGCCCACCGGUGAACUUUACUGUCAACGGCCGCAACUACGACAAAGGAUACUACCUGGGUGACAGUAUGUAUCCUCAGUGAACCACUAUUGUCAAGACAAUACCCAACCCUGUCGGAGAGAAGAGGAAAAGAUUUGCCCAAGAGCAAGAGAGUGCUAGGAAGGAUGUCGAGCGUGCCUUUGGUGUUUUGCAAUCUCGAUGGGGCAUUGUUCGGUAUCCUGCUAAUACCUGAAGCACGCAGAAACUAUGGGAGGCGAUGACUGCUUGUGUGAACAUGCACAAUAUGAUUGUAGAAGACGAGCGCCUGGAACGUCUGUACGAUCAAGGGUUUCAGUUUCGGGAUGAGAAUGUUGUGCCUGAGCAUGGAGGAGCGCAACGUUUGAACAGUUCACCCAAUUUCAUCUUGACAUGCGUGAUUGGGAAACUCACGUGCAACUAUAAAAUGAUUUGGUUGAGCAUAUGUGGGCUCAUGUUGGCAACCAUAGAUGUAUCUUCUUUUAUUCGUUUGCAAAACUAUGUGAAACAUUGUUAGUUGUAUUCGGCUUGUAAAACUAUGCUAUUUUAUUCGGUGUUAUUUGACAAUAUGUUUGAAUGCAAUUCAUCAAAAUAGGGCGGCCAGCCGGCCAAGCCGGCACAUAUGGGUCGGCGCGUUGGGCGCGCUGCCGACCCAUAUCUAAAACAGAGCGGACGCCGGGCGGGCGGCCGACCCAAAUGGACAAAAGGCGGACGAAAUCGUCGUCCGCUUGGGUCGCCCGUUUGGAGUUGCUCUUAUGUUUUUUAAUAUUUAAUAUUGUCUGGCAUCAAAUCACCCGUUCUUCCAAAUCCCUUUGUGCCUUCCUCAGCUGGUUUUUUCUCUUCAAAGUGUUGUGAUCCCAUCUUUGCAAUUGGGAGUGAACCAUAGCCAAGCGCGCAGCCAAGUUUAAAUUCUAGAACUGAGUACCUGAAGCAGCCCAAGCCUCUUCAACAAUCACAGAGAAGCCCGAUUCUUUUAACCAGCAGGCUUCAAACCUGAGCACAGAUAGGCUCGAGACAUCCUGGGCCGGUGCUUCGUCGAAGCUCAACAGCAGUGGUCGGUGAUCCGACUUGUAAUAUUGGAGUGUUUCCAACUUGGCGUCAGAAAGCCUGUAACUCCAAUCUUCAGAAAGAUAAUGCACGGUCAAGACGUUCUCUGAUGUCUCCCGUAUGCCAUGUGAAUUUAUCUCCUACAAAACCCAAACCAGAUAGCUGGCAGUCAUCUACCACAUCCCAAAAUGCUUGCAUAAAUUGAGCUGGUCUGGGUCUUCUCUCCUCUUUCUCAAAUGGAUACAUAAUCUCAUUUAGAUCUCCGAUUACCAGCCAGGGAGUGUUGCACACACGUCUAGCUCUCUAAGAUGCUGCCAUGUCAGGUGCUUGUCAGCCCACUUUGGUUCUCCAUAGAGGUCAGUGAGACGCCAAACAUUCUCCUGACCACUGCCUACAUACAUGUCAAUAUAGUUGCUUGUUUUAUGUCUAAGAGACAUUGCAAUCUCCUUUUUCCAAAGUAAGAGAAGUCCACCACUUUGCCCAUUACUUCUAACCACCUCUUUAUGAUCCAUCUUCAAUCGUCGCCGAAGACAUUCCACCGGCCACUCAUCCAGGUGAGUCUCCGACAGAAACAAGAUAUCAAGGCUGUUGGGUCUAACCCUAGCUAGCUGUUUUCAGGGACAGAGGUAGAAGAAGAAGUAAACGCACAGGUGUUUUGCGGCGACGAACGCCUCACUGCCAAACAGCGUUUUCUCCAGCUCAAACUGUAAACAAAUCACAAUCUACAUAGACCUAUAUAGGCAGACGCACGCCACCGGCGCCCAAAAAACGCCAACAACCUGGACGCACCACACAUCUCGUAACAAACACGAGAUCAGCCAGCUUUUUAGCUAACAGAAACGCAGCGCUUACGGAGCCUCCCUAGCGAUCCGGUCUUCCAUCGAUCGUGAGCCCGGCUUGCUCGUCCGCACGACCUGGGCGCCAGGUUUCUCCCGCUGCGUCUACCUACUUCAAUCGCCAUACGAUCGCAACACACCGGAUUGACUCAGACUUGACCUAGAGUCCUAGACACACGCACACAUACGCUGGUGACCACGGACACGAACGCGCACACACACGCGACGCACAUCCGCACACACGGUUUAUUCCUAACAAUCUCCCCCUAAACCGUGACCUACAGGAGGCCAGGCUCUUCGUUGACGACGGCGAGGAUCGCGUUCUCCUUCUUCGGCCCCCUCUCUUUUCAUGAAUAACAUUGAAGGAGAGCUGGAGCAGAGAUGGAUUGGCAGGUUGACUAGCGGGGAUCGGAAUUGCAACAUUUUCAUGGUGGAUCGUUGCAGGUGAUGCUACACGUCAUGUUUGCGGCUACGGUGUGCACCUUCACUGUCCAGGAUCUUGUAGAGCACACUAUUGUGCAUUGCCACAAACUGCCUCCAGGGACCUACGAUUCAUACAAGGCGUCAGGGGUUAUCAUGUUCUUCGUAAGCACCCCCGUCACCAUCUUCACCACUGGCCCAACCGCUACUCAUGGCCAUGGGUGAUCGCCGAGACAUAUAAACACUACUAUUAUUAACUAAUGUAUAUGUGCGUAUUGGUUUGGCAAACAUGACUAGCUGUAUUGAUAUACUAUUUGACACAAUAUUAUUAUUAUUUAGUAUUAUUAGCAACUAUUGUUUUAUUAUUAAUUAAUAUAAAUUAUUGUAUUAAUAACUAGGAAUUUUAUAGAUCUCUAUCUCUACCUAAUUUAUUUGUUUCAUAAUAUUAUAAAGAAUUGAAUCCGUGAGUCACCUGCUGUUUGGUUUCUAUCUCUUAAAUUCUCCAUGAGAAUGUUAGCUCUCCCAAUAGAAAAGCCAUGGCAUCGCUACCUAUGCUAAUCUCUUCGAUUAUUUGGAAUGAAAGGAACGCCCGGGUCUUCCGUCGUCAUAAGAGUGCUCCACCGCCAACUUUGCUUAACACUAUCAUCUGCGAGGCAAACCUUUGGGUCACCGCCGGUGCAAAGAAAUUAGGGUCAAUUAUUUUCGAGAUUAAUUCCCAUAUCGUGUAAGGGUUCUUAUGUAACAAACUCUAUUCUCCGCUCAAUUAAUGGAUGAGGCAAAAUGUUUGCCUCCAUUUAAAAGAAAAUGAGAAUGUUAGCCUGGUACAUCGGGGCUUUGGUAGGGGCUUUUUGGUCCACCUGUAAUUGGCUAGCUCGUUGAUGUUGUGCGUGUUUUUUUUGCGACAAACCUUCCUACCUAUUCAUUUUCAGUCAUAGCAGUACAAUGAACAUAACCUCCUAGCGACGACUAUAAACAUUGAAGCGAGCCGAAGACGCGCCACCGUCAUCACUCCUCUCAUAGGACCAGGGCACCAGAACAGCAACCGCCGCCUAGCGCUGAUUGGAAAAACCCAACCUGAAGAUACACAUAGAUGAAGAGUUGAUGUUGUGCACUUGUCUUCUAUAGCUUCAAGCCAACUAGAUAGGGGACGCGGCAAGCCGCGCGUUGCCCGCCGAACAGUCGGCCAACAAAUAUGAUGAGUUGGGAGCACAUUUGAUGUUGGGAAUUUUGGUGAACAUAUAAUUAUAAAUCAUGUUGAUGACCGCUCAACAGAAAAUAAAGUUUGUACAUAAAAUGCAUUCACACACACACACACACACACAUAAUAGCAGUGUUGUGAACCACACUAUUUACCUAAGAUAAUUAUCUCUGAUCAAGAUAGAAAACACACACCAUAUAAGUUUGCUAGGACGAGGGAUUGCAUAGUAGAGUAUCAGUACACACCAUAUAAUAUAUACUCCCUCCGUCCGGAAAUUACUUGUCAUAGAAAUGGAUAAAAAUGGAUGUAUCUAUAACUAAAAUACGUCUAGAUACAUCCAUUUCUUCGACAAAUAUUUCCGGACGGAGGGAGUAUUUGCUGAAAUUUGAGAUGGGCUCUAGGCCCAUAUAGCAAUUUCUAAAAAAUCUCUAAGGGCCCACGUGGGUUAUAUGGCAGUAGGUGUAGUGGGAAGUUUAGUUCCACCCCGAAAGUGGAAGAGGAGUUGGACCUCCUUAUAAGGGUUUCUCUUCUACAUGCUAGUGGAGCUUGAGAAGAGAAGAGGCCCUCGCGCACUCCUCCUCCGCCGACCGCCUCGUCACGACGCGACGCGGGAUUGAGCCGAGCCGAGCUCACACCUACGCGCUUAUUUUUGCCAGUCACUAAUGGAGAGUUCUCUGACAGCUGGGCCACGAUCUGAGACAUCGGAUCAUGGGCUGUCACGGACUCAGACGUGAGUCUCCACGCGGCUGCGCCUAUAUAAGUGUGCGGUGUCUCCUAACCCUAGCCGCCACGAACAGAUCACAUCUGCUCCACGCGCACGCCCACCGUCGUUCCCUUGUUGCUGCUGCCACCGGUGACCCCAUCCCGUCCGCCGCGUACACGGUCGACGGGAGAGCAGGUCUCCGAAACCACGCCCUUCUGGUUCCUGUACGGGGUGAGGGGCGAAUAGGUUUUUGGGGAGCGAUUACGCGACUGCUCAUUUCCGAUCGUCUACUUCCUCUACGUCCGCAUCGCCUUCAUCAUCACCAUGUCCACCGACGCCGAACGUGCCGCCGCCGAGAAAGCUGAAGCCGACAAGAAGGCCGCCGAGGACGCCGCUGCUGCCACCAAAGCCGCGGCCUCUGCAUGUCCUACUAGAGGGUAUAACUCGUUUAUCCCGCUCCUACUGUUUUCUAUUUUAGCCAUGCUAGCGUUAUACGUAGAUCUUUCUACAAUUAGCGUAGUAUGUGCUAGCUUGACUGAAUAUCAGUAUGCGUUUAUUUGUGUCAAUGCCAUGCUAGUUCGUGGAUUAGUUUAAUCGAGAAAUUGCCUAUUUACUCAGCAAUCCAAAAACCUAUUAUGUGUAGGAAUUUUUCGGCAAGUGGCAUUGCCGCUGCACUGAAACCGGAUAAGUUUACCGGUACAUACUUUAAGCGUUGGCAGACUAAGACCACGUUAUGGCUCACGGCUAUGAACGUGUUCUGGGUCACCGGUGUCUCCACGGGAACGAUUGCUCCUGAACAGGAGAAGGCGUUCAAGGAGGCUACCGUUGUGUUUCUCGGAGUAGUUCUUAGCGUGAUCGGAGAUAAACUGGUCGACGCAUAUUUACAUGUGCAUGUCGCCAAGGACUUGUGGGAGGCGCUCGAAUCUAAAUUCGGGGCCGCCGAUGCAGGGAGCGAGAUGUAUGUUAUAGAGCAGUUCCACGAUUACAAGAUGGUUGAAAACCGUCCUGUAUUGGAGCAGGCUCAUGAGAUAAUAUGCAUUAUUAAGGAGCUUGAGCUUCUUAAGUGCGAGUUACAGGGCAAGUUUGUCGCGGGCUGCAUAAUCGCCAAGCUCCCUAAUUCCUGGAGGAACUUUUCCACCACUCUGAAACAUCAGAGGCGUGAAUUCUCUGUAGAGGAUGUCAUUGGCCAUCUGAGUGUUGAGCAGAAUUCAAGGGCAAAGGACUCGCACAGAAAAGGGGUCGAAGGAACUUCUGUUGCCAACAUGGUGAACCAGAGGAACCAUAACUCCCACAAGCCCAAGGGAAAGAACGGUGUCCAACACAAUACCGACUUUAAGAAGAAGGGUAAGAAGACCUUCAAGAAGAACAAAAAGGACGAGGGCUGCUUUACUUGUGGUUCGGUUGAACAUUGGGCCAACAAGUGCCCAAACAAGUACAAGAAGUCAGGACAGGACUCCAAGUCUGUCAACAUGAUUGUGGGCAACAAUGAGAAUGGUGCAUCUGGGUACGGUAAUUUAUUUACUAUUUUUUCAGUGUUUCAGCCUACUGAUUGGUGGGUGGACACAGGUGCAGGUGUUCAUGUGUGUGCUGACAUUUCAUUGUUCACUUCUUACCAGGUCACAGGUCAUGGGUCCGUAUUGAUGGGGAAUGGCGCGAGUGCUUCUGUUCAUGGUGUUGGCACGCUCGAUCUGAAGUUUACUUCGGGAAGGAUCGUGCAGCUGAAGAACGUGCAGCAUGUCCCCGCCAUCAAGAAGAACCUCGUUAGUGGCUCCCUUCUAUGUAGAGAAGGGUUUAAGUUGGUUUUCGAGUCUGAUAAAUUAGUUGUUACGAAAUAUGGACUCUUUGUUGGAAAAGGUUAUGAGAGCGGAGGGAUGUUCCGCCUUUCCCUCGCAGAUUUUUGUAAUAAAGUCGUGAACCAUAUUCAUUCGAAUGUUAAUGAAUCUGAAGUUUGGCAUUCAUGUCUUUGUCACAUUAGUUUCGGUGUUAUGACGUAGCUAGCCAAGUUGGAUUUAAUCCCGAGUUUCACUUUAGCCAAAGGUUCUAAGUGCCUUUCAUGUGUGCAAGCUAAGCAACCUCGCAAGCCUCACAAGGCCGCGGAGGAGAGACACUUGGCACCAUUAGAACUCAUACAUUCUGAUCUUUGUGAGAUGAAUGGUGUGUUGACUAAAGGUGGAAAGAAAUACUUCAUGACAUUGAUAGAUGAUUCCACUAGAUAUUGCUAUGUGUAUCUGUUAAAUACUAAAGAUGAGGCUCUACACUACUUUAAAAUCUAUAAGGCAGAAGUUGAGAAUCAACUUGAAAAGAAAAUUAAACGAGUCUGGUCAGAUCAUGGUGGAGAGUACUUCUCGAGUGAGUUUGAUUCCUUUUGUGCGGAACACGGCAUUAUUCAUGAGAGGACGCCUCCCUAUUCACCCCAGUCAAACGGGGUUGCCGAGCGAAAAAACCGUACUCUAACUGAUUUGGUUAAUGCCAUGUUAGAUACAUCAGGUUUAUCCAAGGCAUGGUGGGGGGAGGCUAUAUUGACGGCAUGUCGUGUCCUGAAUAAAGUUCCGACAAAGGAUAAUGAGAUCACUCCCUAUGAGAAAUGGGCGAAGAGAAGGACAACACUCUCGUACUUGCGCACUUGGGGCUGUUUGGCGAAAGUCAAUGUGCCAAUCCCCCAAAAGCGUAAGCUCGGACCCAAGACUGUGGACUGCGUUAAUUUGGGCUACGCUAAGAACAGCGUUGGCUAUAGAUUUCUAGUAGUGAAAUCUGAUGUACCUGACCAGAAGGUCGGUACAAUUAUGGAGUCUAAGGAUGCUACAUUAUUCGAGGAUAUUUUUCCUAUGAGAGAUAUGCAAAGUACUUCCAGAUAGGAAUCUGAGGAGACUCCUUAACCUGCCAUCCCUAUGGAAUAUUAUGAACAAACACAUGAUGAAAAUCCUGAGGAGGAUGACGAGGAAACCCUUGGUAGGGGCAAGAGACAAAGGACUGCAAAGACCUUUGGUGAUGAUUUCUUCGUGUACCUCGUGGAUGAUACUCCCACUUCUAUUUCAGAAGCGUAUGCCUCUCCAGAAGCUGAUUACUGGAAGGAUGUGGUUCGUAGCGAGAUGGACUCCAUCAUGGCUAACGGGACAUGGGAGAUCACUGACUGUCCCUAUGGUUGCAAACCAUUAGGAUGCAAGUGGGUGUUCAAGAAGAAACUUAGGCCCGAUGGUACAAUUGAAAAGUACAAGGCUAGGCUUGUGGCCAACGGCUAUGACCAGAAAGAAGAGGAAGAUUUCUUCGAUACUUAUUCACCUGUGGCUAGACUGACCACCAUUCGAGUAUUACUCUCGUUGGCGGCCUCGCAUGGUCUUCUCGUCCAUCAGAUGGAUGUUAAGAUGGCUUUUCUGAAUGGAGAGCUAAACGAGGAAAUCUACAUGCAACAGCCAGAUGGCUUUGUGAUAGAUGGUCAGGAAAGAAAGGUGUGUAGGUUGCUGAAAUCUUUAUAUGGCCUGAAGCAAGCACCUAAGCAAUGGCAUGAUAAGUUUAAUACAACUCUGACAUCUGUUGGUUUCGUUGUUAAUGAGGCUGACAAAUGUGUAUACUAUCACCAUGGUGGGGGCGAAGGAGUUAUACUUUGCUUGUAUGUUGAUGACAUACUGAUAUUUGGAACAAACCUCAAAGUCAUUGAGGAGGUCAAAUCGUUUCUAUCUCAGAACUUUGAGAUGAAAGACCUUGGUGUGGCUGAUGUUAUCUUGAACAUCAAGCUACUGAGAGAUAAUGAGGGUGGGAUUACACUUCUGCAAUCCCACUAUGUUGAGAAGGUGUUGAGUCGUUUUGGAUAUUCGGAUUGUGCACCAUCUCAAACACCAUAUGAUCCUAGCGUGUUGAUUCGAAAGUCCAAAGGCACGGCUAAAGAUCAAUUGAGAUACUCUCAAAUCAUUGGUUCACUGAUGUACCUAGCGAGCGCAACGAGGCCUGACAUCGCGUUUGCUGUGAGCAAAUUAAGCCGGUUUGUUUCCAAACCGGGUGAUGUACAUUGGCAUGCUGUUGAAAGAGUUAUGCGCUAUCUGAAAGGUACUAUGAACUAUGGACUUCACUAUACCGGAGACCCGUCGGUACUUGAAGGGUAUAGUGAUGCGAAUUGGAUCUCUGAUGCUGAUGAGAUGAAGGCCACAACUGGGUAUAUGUUUACUCUUGGAGGUGGCGCUGUUUCCUGGAAGUCUUGCAAUCAAACGAUCUUAACGAGAUCGACAAUGGAAGCAGAAUUAACAGCAUUAGACACAUCUGGUGUUGAAGCAGGAUGGCUUCAAGAUCUUUUGAUGGACUUGCCAUUGGUUGAUAAACCGGUUCCGGAUAUCCUUAUGAACUGUGACAAUCAGACUGUCAUCACCAAGGUGAAGAGUUCAAAGGACAACAUGAAGUCCAACAAACACAUAAGAAUGAGAUUAAAAGCUGUCAGAAAAUUAAGAAACUCCGGAGUGAUAGCGUUGGACUAUGUCCAUACGGCUAAGAAUCUGGCAGAUCCCUUUAUGGAAGGGCUAUCACGUGUUGUGAUAGAUAAUGCAUCGAGGGAGAUGGGUAUGAGACCCACAUGAGUUGCCAUGGUGGUAACCCAACCUAUGUGAUCGGAGAUCCCGUGAAGUAGGACCUGGGAAAACAAGCCAGUGGUGAACUGAGGAGAGUAACUAUACUAACCCACUCCGUUGGAGAUGCAAUACUCUCGAUACUGUAUGGUAGGAUGACUACUGUCUUAAUGUGUUCCAAAGCUUAUGAAAGCAAGAUGCUAUCCUACAGAGCGAUCUUUGGAGGAACACACCUAUAUGAGCCCGACUGCUGGUCACAGUCUAUGAGAUUGGGGUGAUCUCUAGUAAGCUCAUGAAUAGGCCAGGAGUGUGACUUAUAUGCUCCACCCGAGGGGUCAGCCUUCGGCAGCCUAGUACUAGUAAGACAUGUGGUGAAACUUCUUUACGCCAAACUGACAAUUCAAGGCAUAGUCCAUUGUUCAGUUGUGAAGGAGUGUAUCUACUUGCUCUAGGAGAAGUUCAACCUUAACAGGUCUUCGAAACAGUAAUUGGAACAGAGGACACAAUGGGCCCUCGAGAUCUGGUGGGGGAUUGCUGAAAUUUGAGAUGGGCUCUAGGCCCAUAUAGCAAUUUCUGAAAAAUCUCUAAGGGCCCAUGUGGGUUAUAUGGCAGUAGGUGUAGUGGGAAGUUUAGUCCCACCCCGGAAGUGGAAGAGGAGUUGGACCUCCUUAUAAGGGUUUCUCUUCUAUAUGCUAUUGAAGCUUGAGAAGAGAAGAGGCCCUCGCGCACUCCUCCUCCGCCGCCCACCUCGCCACGCCACGCCUCGUCACGACGCGCCGCGGGUUGCGGGAUUGAGCCAAGCCGAGCUCACACUUACGCGCUUAUUUUUGCCAGUCACUAACGGGGAGUUCUCUGAUAGCUGGGCCACGAUUUGAGACGUUGGAUCGUGGGCUAUCACGGACUCGGACGUGAGUCGAGCCGUACACGGUCGACGGGAGAGCAGGUCUCCGAAACCACGCCCUUCUGGUUCCUGUACGGGGUGAGGGGCGAAUAGGUUUUUGGGCAGCGAUUACGCGACUGCUCACUUCCGAUCGUCUACUUCCUCUACGUCCGCGUCGCCUUCAUCAUCACCAUGUCCACCGACGCCGAACGUGCCGCCGCCCAAAAAGCUGAAGCCGACAAGAAGGCCGCCGAGGACGCCGUUGCUGCCACCAAAGCCACGGCCUCUGCAUGGCCUACUGGAGGGUAUAACUCGUUUAUCCUGCUCCUACUGUUUUCUAUUUUAGCCAUGCUAACGUUAUACGUAGAUCUUUCUGCAAUUAGCGUAGUAUGUGCUAGCUUGACUGAAUAUCAGUAUGUGUUUAUUUGUGUCAAUGCCAUGCUAGUGAUUUACUCGUGGAUUAAUUUAAUCGAGAAAUUGCCUAUUUACUCAACAGUAUUUACAUAAUUAAGUCUAGUAGGAGGAGGUGCUGCAUAGUAGGGCAUCGAUUGCAUAUCAUCAGAAGGCAAGUGCACGGAGGUUACAUAUACUAAGAUGGUGAACUGGAAGUACCAAACGAUCAUUCAGAUAGUCAUGAUGAUGAGGUGGUAAUGUAGAAUCAGUGAUCAUCGUGGGACUUCCGCAGAGCACUUGUCCUCACUGUCAAAAACAUCUCCUCAUCUAGAGAGCUCCUCAUAUAAGGUACAUGUUCAGGGCUUCCAUAGCCCGUGGAUGGCAACUCUUCAUCAUCAGGGAAACUUGGUUGUGGAUCCUCCUAUGGAUAUGUGCCAGUGAACUGCAGAUAUUCAGUAUCAAGAACUGUGUUCUGGUCAAGAUACACGCAAAUGUUCUGCACAUUAAGAAGAGUUAUGUCCAGCUCAGUAACUAUAUGCUGAAGCUGCAUUGUCAUUGAAGAUUCAAUAUUUAGUGAAUUACCCCACCCUUUUCUGUGAGCUUUUUGAUGAUAUUAUUCUUCUCACCAUUGAUAUUUUUAUAGAACCAAUGGCACUAUCUUUUUCAGCAAGCUGCUGCAGCAGAGACCCAUUGGUCUUCUUGAUAGACUCAAUGAUGGCAUCCUUUUCUCUCACUUGUUAUACAAAACAUAACUGGCCUUUUUCAUUGACACAAUGCUGCUAUCCUUUUCUUUUAGUUGUUGAAGCAGAGUGUCACUGGCAUGUUUAUUCUUCGAAUAGAAUCGAAUCGAGUAAUAAUCACAAAACGGAUCGGCGUCUCAUGGAUUCUUGUACAAGCAAAAUUGUCCAAAAAAAGGCAACAACCUGAUUACAGGGACACUUGAUACAAACUUCCUGCUCAGGGAAGUAUUGAUUUUCUUUACAAUAGUCUAAUUUAUCAAAAUUCAAAAGAAAUAACUACAUACAAAGAUGGUCAAGUCGGCAGUGUGUCCAGUUCAUCGAUAAAGGAAAUAAAAACUCUGAGCAAAAUGGGGGGAACGAUGGGGUGUUUACCACCUCUCUGAUCUUCCCAAGCUCCUUUGCAAUGACAAAGCAAGCUGAAACAAGGUCACCAUGAUGGCAGUUGGGACAUUCGGAAGACCUUUAAAGUUCCAUGGCAAUGCGAACCCUUGCAAUACCAUAGCACCGGUGCAGCCGUGCAGGGCGGCAGAAACAAAUAGGUACUAGAAACCAUGAAAUAGAUCAGAAAGCAACUAAUUCUCUAACGAGAAAACCAGCAUCUCCUCCUUUCAGCAAAAACAGCAGCGUGUCAGUUUGCAUUCGCAUGCUUUUAUUUCCCGUAAGAGGGGCUCAUCUGUGUAUGAAUAAAACUUCCUGUAACUACCUGAGAGGCUGAGAAGACCACCUUUUCUCAGCUCGCAACCUGAACGGCCUCGACUUCUCCAUCACUGUAAUCAGCCCAGGACUUUGGCUUUUCAGUCACGCUUGAAUCAUCUGGAGCAUAUUUUGGGGCUGAAGCAUCAUAUUGAGCAUCUAUUGGGGCUGUUGCAUCAACUUCAGCACCUCCAGAAACUAUAGUUUCAUCAGGCUUCACUUCACUGUCCUCACAUUCCACAUGGUUGUUCUUCUCCUCUGUGUUCUUGCUCUCAGCCUCAGCUUCAACAUCAAUUCCACUAGAUGUAUCAUUUCCUUCAGGACUAGUCUCACUAGUUUCAGACACUUGUGGGGAAGCAGUCUUGGGUGACUCGACAGUACUAUCUGGAGAUGAUGGAAGCCCAUCCUGUGAUGCUUGAAUACCAGCUGGCGAUGCCAGAGGUUCAUUAGGAGAUGAUGGAUGGCCAUCAGGACUACGAGAUUGACCCGGCACAAACUCCGCUGCAUGAGGAUUCAUCACUUUAGGGGAUGUGGCUGCCUCUGGAAGAACUUCACCACUCGGCAACACAGGCUUGUUACGAGGCACUCGGUGCCCUGAUCUGUUGAACCCUCCGGCUAGACGUGGACCACAAGGGACCCUUGCAGUUGCAGACUGGUGAGGGUGCUUACGGAGAGGGAUGGCCAGCAUUGGGGGCACAUUGGCUGGCGAUGGCAAUAGUCCCGCGUGUUCUCUGAAACCUGGUACGACCAUUGAACCAAAAGCUGGCACGGUGGCUGGACUGAAUGGAGCAGCGGCAGCAUUAAGUUUACUGGCUGUCUCUUUCGCACCUUCUACUGGUGAAUCAUUCUUUUCACUUCCAGAUGGUGAAGAUUUCUCAUUUUCGGCCCCACUAGACAGCUGUUCUUGAUUAUCCUCUCCUGGACCUCUUUCAUCAUCAUUGGAGGAAGAAUCAUUUGCCUCAGUCAAAGUUGCUGCUUCUUCAUUUGGGAGGUCCGCUAGUGCUGCUGGUGAUUGGUUCUUCUCUGUAGAUGUCUCUGCUGAAUCUGAGGCCUUCUCAGCUUGAUUUGAUCCUACCGAACCAUUGGCUUGUUCAGUAUCAGAACUGGGAGAUUUGUGCUCAUCAGUUGCUUUUGAUACUUGCAAAUUAUUAUCCUUUGGUGACACUUGUAUUGCCCCAUUUUUCUCUUCAGAAGGGCGAACAUUGCUUUCUUUGGGAGCCUUGGCACUUUCAAGAUUUACAGCUGGAUCAGUUGCAUCCUUUUGCUUUGUAUGCACAUCAUUCAACGCUUUGGCAAGAGUUCCUGGUGCAGCUAUUGCCACUUCCUUGUAUGACAGUGACUUCCUUACUGUUUGACUGACAAUUGGUGCUGCAGAUGGCAUCACCUUGGCAGCUGCAGGGGUGGUGGCUAAGCUUGCUGCCAUGGAUUUAGGUUUGGGUGAAUCCUCCCCACUGUUUGAUGAGAUAGCAGGAUUACCUGCUUUGGAAUUGAAGCUCGAACUCUUUGCCAACUUCUUUGCAAGAGGGCUGGAAGCAACAGGAGCUGCAGUCUCAUUAGGUGAAACUCGAGGGGAGGAGUUGGAUGGAACUCUGCCUUUGUAGCUUGGAGGGGGAGAAGAAGUAAGGAAGAAAAGAUGAGCAAAUCCAAUAUACAGUGGACAAUUAUUGGCGUACGUACCAGUGGCGGGCAGGAAUCUGAGCCCAUCAUUGUUAACUUAAUUACCUGUGAUGGGCAGGAAUCUAAGCCCAUCAUUGUUUAAUUUAAGUACCAGUGACGGGCAGGAAUCUGAGCCCAUCAUUUUGUUAACUUAAGUACUAGUGGUGGGCAAACUCAAACAAAUAAAUCUGCUACUAGUAUUUUUUCAACCAUUUUAGCCAUGGGCCAACCAUACCUAUGGCGGCUGCACAUACAUGCCCGCCACACUAGUAACUCAAUUACGAGUGGUGGGCGGGGAGGCACACCCAUCACUUGUAUGUUUGGCCCAAGCUAGAUGACGUGAGCGCUGGUGGCCUCCCUGGCUGCGGCUCCCACGCGGGUGGCUUCUGCCGGCCUAGAUGGGAUCUGGGACCUUGCCCGGCUGGAUGUGGCGCUCUCCGUUCGGCCACCGCGGCGGCCGCCGUGCCUUCUCCGCUGCGUCCACCCCCUCCCAUCGACCCCCACCACCCUCACCCCCUGCUCGGCUCCGGGUCUGCCUCUCGCUAUGGCGGUCGUGGAGGCGUGGGUUUGUGCCCGGCGGCGGCUGCUUCCCACAGUGCGCGGGCCGGGAGGUUUGGUUGCGCGUUAACUUCACCACCCACCCACCCCCGGUAGGGGCGGCUUCGGCACGCCGACUAUGAACUUGUGCCCCUUCCUACGUCCAUGGCCGGCCGACGCGGCUUCGGAUCCAGCACACCAUGGAAGCUGCGCUCUUUCCGGCUUCCUUGGCUCGUUGGCUCCUCGGCAUCACCGCACCAUCACCCUGCCGGUGCCCUUUGUUGGUCGUCCAUCCGGGCGCAUCUCCGUUUCUGGCUCGCUCCGGGAGCUGCGUCCCCUUCCAGCUCCUAGGCUUGCCGGUGCUCUGCUGCUCCGGUCCCGGUGGCCUUGAUCUACACUUUCCAAAUCCUGGUUUGUCCGGGGCUCCGCCCACCGUCACAUCUCGUUGCCUUCCAUUUCGCUCAGCCACACAACCCCGCCCUCUAACGGAGCUCGCAAGUCCGGCGACGCUCGGUGCCUCCUUCGGCGUCGGGCGUGGCUCCCCUUCCUCCUGUAGCAAUUUCGCCCUAUACUCGACUUCCUCUUCUCCGAUUUGUUCUCCGACGGCUUGGGAUUGUUCGGAAUUUGGCCAGGGAGCAAUCCCCGCAUUCUAUGCUGGCACUGGCGACACUUGCGGGUGUCGUUCCCUUCUUGAAGGCACUGCCAUGGCCACUUUCUGGGGCCCUCUUCAAGCAACAGGGGAAACUCUAGGUCCGGCUUCCCAGAUCGGACGCCGGUAACGUCUCGUGUCGUUCUCCUUCCUGAAGGCGUUGUCUUGUUUGCUCGCGGCGUCCUCGGUGCUGACUUCGGUGAUGUCGGUCGUCUAGUUAUUGGUCGGAUUGUGUCUCUGGUUGGCGAGUUCAGCCGUGUUUUUCUUUGGGUCGAGUGUCUCAUGUCUCUCCAGUUUGGGGCACCAUGUUCACGCCUUUUGCAUCCGUGCCAUGUGUUGUAUCACCUCCUGUACUCAUUCAACCUCUCAUAUCAAUGCAAUGAUAAGCAAGCUUUGCGUAUUCCCGAAUUAAUCUGGGCCCUUAUUACAAGUAUUGGGAAGGAAAUGUUUCACAUAUAAGCAGUUCUGCAGUAGUGAGAGUUGAAGCAGUCAGAUAAUAAAUGCCUUGCACAUUUCUAUCUUUUGUGAUAUAGUAAGUUUUUGUUCAAUUUAUGAACUAAUUAAUGAGUGAGGUGUUUUGGCUCCAAGGCCCAGAUGAGCCCAGGACUAAUUAAAAAUCAUUUAGAAAAUUCCAACUUUUUGGUGGAGAAAGAUGACCAAGUGCGUGAUGUCCGUGCCAAAUUUCACAGCAUUUGGAUGUCUGAUUAGUUCUCAGCAAAAAAGACAAAUUCAGAGUAUAUGAAAAAGUUUACUGUUUGUGCAUUGUUUGGACCCGAUUUUUUUGCUGAAAGCUACUUAGAUGUCCAGAUGCUUUAAAAUUUGGCACGCAUCUCACGCACUCAGUCAUUUUUGUCCACAAAAAAAUUCAGAAUUUUUUGAACUUUUCUAGUAUUAUUUACGAAUUUACUGUUCAUUGAGUGUAGAUGAGCUGGGCUCAGAAUUGGAUAUUAGCUAAUUAAUGGCCAACAUAAAGUAAAUACAUUUUUAUUUUUAUUUUUAUUAUCCCCUUAUGCUUAUCUUCUUGGUGUGUGUUAAUUAAUACGUCUGCCAAGAAGAAAUGUGUGUUAUCCUUCUGUAGCAAGUUUUAAUUAGACAUUAAUCGAUUGCUUUAAAUAGCUUGUUAUCUAUUCAUAGGAUUUGCCUUUAUAUAACAUAAUGUUAUUUGCAAGUAAGUAUGCAAUUAAUGUAUUUGGCCUAUAAAAAGCGUAAGGUGUUAACUCGAGCAUACUAUUGUGCUCGUCAGUCAAACAGAACCGCCUCACUGAUCAAACAUGGAUGUCAAAUUAGCAACGAUUAUGUUCUUUGUGCUCCUCGGAUGCCAUGUGUUUUCCGUGCACUGUAAGUAUACAUAUACAUCUAUCCUAGUAGUAUGUCACAUAGACCAAUAUCUUGAGUUCUUGACAAUCUCAUCAAACACAUGAGUUAUGAUGAUGAUUCAUUUAACUAAAUGCCCAUUAUUGUGUUUCUCGAUAUAUCAGGUGGUCGCCAGAUAGAUGGCGGGAUUGGAGCUAAGGCUUACCAUGGUCCUCCGAUAGUGUUGUGUGUGAAGAAUACAUGUGCCCAUCACACAUGUUGGUGUUGUGCAACACAGUGGCCCGGUGAACUCUGCUAUGACAAUCUACUCCCUCCGUUCCCAAAUAUAAGUCUUUUUAGAGAUUGCAACAAGUGACUACAUACGAAGUAAAAUGAAUGAAUCUAUACUCUAAAAUAUGUCUACAUACAUUCGUAUGUUGUAAUUUAUUUAAAAUGUCUAAAAAGACUUAUAUUUAGGAACGGAGGGAGUAGAUGAUUGCGACAAAGUAUGCCCGCAUGCGCGUACACCAUCAUUACCGAUGAAUGAACAUGCCAAGUUUUAGUUCAGCCUGGCGUCUAAUGACGAGAUGAUUAAAAUAUCAAUAUUGAAAAUCAUUCAACAGGUGGGAACUAAGAAAUCACAUAUUUGAUCUUAUGUAUUUAGAGUUUGAAUAAAUUGCACCUUCUUCAUGAUGUAUGGGUCUAUCAUUUUAUUGACCGGGACACACAUUUUCACUAAUUUUCUAACAAAAAAGAGGAAUCCGUAAACACAAGGAUUUCAUAAAUUCCUCUAUUGAUGGUCAUGUGCAUCGAUUAAUUGUGACCCCAUGGGUAAGCCCUCCUUUUCGAGAAAAAAUGAAUUCCUCGAUCAAACAGUUUCUUUGUGUUAAUCUUGACCAAUACUUACAUCAAUAAUAUAGGGACCCCCGCAAAAAAAAAAUCAAUACUAUAGGGAGUGUGAUACCGAAAAUACAAAGGUGAGCAUGGGUGCGCGCGCACCCAUGUGAAUAGUAAAUUCAUAAAAAAUAUUAGAAAAAAUUAAAAAUUUCUGAAAUUUCGAUCAUUCUACUCACGUGUGAAGUUUCAUGAUGUAUUAACACCCAUGAUAUUCUUAGUGAAGAAAAUAUUAAUGCGAUCAUACUAUUCAUUAAUCAAUGUUUUUUAAUAUAGCUUCGAUUAGCUUCGAUUUUGUCAUUUUUGCCCAGAUUACCACGGAUGUGAUUUCUUCGUGAAACUUCAUAUGCAAGUAUACCGGUUGACUAUGUAUAUUUAAAAAAUAAAUUCAGAUUUUUUAAAUUUUUUCUAGCAUUUUUUUCAAAUUUACUAUUCAUAAAGGAUGCGCGCGCAUCCAUGUUCACCAAAUCCGUGUCCGUGUGAUACUGAAAUUAUACUAUGAGAAGGUGCUUCUUACUACCUGUUUUUUCUAGUUUGUAAUCAACACUUAUAUAUAGUUUCAUAUUUGGCUCGUAUGAUUAGACUAACAAUUCACCUGCAAAAAAAAAAGACUAAGAGCAUCUCCAGCCGCGCCCCCAACAAGCCCCCCCCCGCGAUUUUUCGGCCGUCGGCGUUGAAAAAUCGGCCCAGUCGCGCCCCCAAGGGCCUAGUUUUCACCGGCUCGGGCCGAAAUUGGCGCCGGCGGACCCAGGCCGAACCCGGCGCGCUGGGGGCGCUUAGGGGCGCCGGCCGAAUCGUUUUUGGCGCGAAAAUCGGCGGGCCCUCCUUGGCAGCGAUUCGGCUCUUCUUGCCGCUUCUUCGUCCUCAUCGCCUCGGUUCCCGCGGCGGAAUCAAUGCCAAAGCUGCCGCGCGCUGCCGCGCCGGUCAGCCUCCUCCAUUGAUGCCUCACGGGCGGCGCAGUGAAGACGGGACGCCGCGCGUCCCUCGCCCGCCAUGCGUACACACGGCGGGCACGCGUACGCGCGGCGCCUCCGCCUAUAUAAGCCGUCCCCCAGCGCGCCGGUAAAGCACAGACUCUCCAUCGCCGACGUCCCGUUCCACCGCCGUUCCUCCCCUCUCCUCUCGCCUUCUCCAGUUCAACCAUGGCCGAGCGCUUCCCAGGCGAUGGCGCGGCGGCGAACGGCUUCGGCCGCCGACACAUUGACGAGGACGAAGCUCGGCUCCUCUACGAGGCCGAGUACCCGGUCCCGCCGGACAUGCGGGUGCCCGGGGCGUGGAGGAGCAGCGCCGGCGGGGUCCCGGUGCCACCACCGCCCACCGGGGCGGCGCGGCGUGCGGAGAUCGCGCGUAUCCGCGCCUCUCCGCCGCGGGCGGCGAGGGAAGGUCCACGGUACGUCCCCGACAGCCCGCUGUGGGAACCCUACUUCCGUCGCCGGCACGCCGAGCAGCUCGAGGCCACGACGACGACGACGGCGGCGACUACACGCAGUUCUACAGCCUCCUCGGCAUGUAGAGCUUCAAGGGCGGCGGGCGGCGAGGGAGACGGCGGGCCUAGUAGCUUUUUUUUUGUAAAAAUAUUUUAAAUAUGUAUGAACUCGCCGAAGUUUGAUUCAAUUUGCGCCGUGUUUGUGCCGGAUUUUAGUUUAAAAAAGUGGGCGCCGCGACUGGCGGACAUCACGCCCCCAGCACGCGGUUUGCGCCGGUGCGCUUUCAGGGGGCGAUUUUUAGCGCCUCCUGAAGGGCCAAUAGCCGGAGAUGCUUAAAAAAGACAUGCGCUCAUCCAAAUAACAGCCGCCUCCUGCGAGCGUCGCGUCAACAACGUGCCGUGCAGUGUAUGUUAGAAAAGAAAAAGGAAAAACGCGCCGCCCAGAUCUCUGUUGUUCAUGUCACGCCAUUCCCAAUUGCAUCCUGUGAGGUGAUUUUUAACCCGAGGAGGCUAGAUCUCUGUUGUUCAUGUCACGCCAUUCUCAAUUGCAGUCUCAAUUGCGUGUUCUUCUGCUCUCUACCUGCAACGUCGUGCUCCUCUUGACUUGGCCAGCAACAACCUGGCCAUCACAAACGGGUGCCUUUGUUCCUGCCACGUGUUCUUCAAUCCGCCACCGUAUAUUUGACUAUCCCCACUCCUACACAUCCAGUCAUCACUUAUCGUGCCCUUAUGCUCCACAUGGUACCGCUCGUUGUCACACAUGCUCCUCUACUUCUCUGCCUCCCAUCCAGAAACAAGAACCUAGGGGAGAACCGUGCUCUCACAACAAUUAGUGACAUCCGGCCAUCCGUUUCUUUUCCUUGAUGGAAUCUGGGCCGUCGGAUCGAGCCACCGAAUGACCUCGGCCGUACGAUUGAGGACCCGAAACUGUGGCAAUGAAUAGUGCAGCCUCGUUCGUGCCACCGCGCGUAAUUACAGUGCCCCGCCGAGGGCACUUUCGUCAUUUCACGUGGUUGGAAAAUAUCCAAUAACGACAUGGGUGUGACAGAGCGGUCGCUACUCCCGCACUCGUGCCGCCUCCUCUCCUCUUCCUCCCGCACCACCUCUCUUUCUCCUCUGCAAACCCUACACCCGCGCCCACUUCCCUCCCCAUCGCCCCCCGUCCCCCUGUCGCCAAGCCUCUUGCAUCUUCGGAAGGGGGGCCGCCAACGGUAGUGCCGCUGCUCCCCUGUCGAGCUCGAGCGUCCCCAUCGCCGGGAGGAGCGCAGGUUGCCGCUCCUGCAGUUGCCCGGUCCUCUCUCCCUCGGCGUCGAGCAGCUCAUGGCGGUGACGGACCCGGUGUUGAGGUCGAGGGGCACUCAGGAUCCGGGCGCAGCGGCGGCCAUGGACGAGCUCAAGCCCGGGCGUGUGGGCGCGUUGGUGAGCGCGGCGGCAGCCGUCGCCGAGCUUGAGCUCGGGCGUAGCGACAAGGGCACUAGGGGGAUUUCACCUGGUAGCCCAGUGCAUGGCGUCAUGUGGGUGGCUGAGGGGUAGAUAGGACGGGUGGAAGGGUGUGUGCUUCUCUCCUCGUAGGACUCACUUCCUCCUUUCUCUUAUUUCAUUCUUGGAUCUGGCCACCGCCGUCGCCGUGUUCUCCUCUUCGUCGUCGGUUAGGUGAUGGUUUUCGCGAUCUCGUCUUGCCUCCUUCGAGGCGUUCUUCUUGCCGGUCCUCACUUCCCCUCUUUUCCUUUUUCAUUAGUCGUCUUGUAGGUAGUUCGAGGGUGUGACUUAUUGGCCCUGCGCUUCGCUUGCCGUCACCUUGGCCGUCGGCGUGCCGUUGAAGAAGGUAUUGUUCUGGUCCCUUCCCUGCCCGAUUCUGAUGAUUACCUAGGUCCAUUUUCACCUGUUCCGCAGAGAUGUCGUUACGGUUUGUUUUGCUGGUUGGUGGCCGGUAGUGUUCUUCCUCUUGCAGCAAAUAAGUUGUGGCUCUUCGAGGAUAGGUCACAUUGCUUCGUUGCGCAGAUGACUUGGAUCCUACUGUUUUGGCAUUCUGUAGAUUUAUUUUGGCAUUACAUCCUAUCCCGCUUCUACUGUUUUGGCAUCGUGUGUGUUUACUUUGGCAUUACAUGCUCAUAGUAUUUGUAUAAGGAUAGGUUUGUUUUGUCAUCACAUGCUCAUACAGUUUGUUUAAGAAUUGGCUUCUCAACCAUCUGUCUGUAUAUGUUUCGGUAUCAGAUGGUCUAUUUUAGCAUUGCUGGUUCAUAUUGUUUAAGGACGUGUCUAUUUUGUUAGUACUGAUAUAUCCUUAAGCAUCCUAUCCGAUUAAGGAUGUGUUUCUCUUGGUACUUGUUGGGGAUAUGACUAUUGGAUAUGACCCGCCCAGGAGGGGCCGGGUUAUCCCAAUGGCGGUUCAUCUUAAUGAAGGCCAAGAGUAUAUUGAAGAUAGUGGUUUAUGAGACAUCCUGUUAAGGGGCCCAAACCUAAAGGCGGCUUAAGGCCCGUAAGUGUAAACCGCCAUGUAUAUGUAAACUUGUAUUGUAAGGCAUGUAAGAUAAGUCACCGAGCCGGACACGUUUGUAUGAGCCGGCCGGGACUCUGUAGACCGCAGGGUGUUAACCCAUGUAUAUAAGGGGAUGACCCGGCACCGGCUUAGGGCAAGAAACAACAGAUCGAAAGCGAGGCAAAGCGUAUUCGCUCCCUAGUAAUCGAAACCCUAGCAAUACCACCUCAAACUGGAUUAGACCUUUACCUUCACCGCAAGGGGCCGAACCAGUAUAAACUCCUCGUGUCCUUUGUCCCGUUUAACCGCUUUAAGCUAACCUCGUCGCCAUGGUUCCACAACUAAGUCCUUUCACUAGGACAUCUGCCGUGACAAUUCCACGACAGUUGCGCCCACCGUGGGGCCUGCGCACGGUGGUUUGAGUUCUUGAAGGGCAGCUUCGAAGGGCUCAAGGGAUACGCUGUGGGCCGGAUGACCAAGAGUCAUCGCGUCAAGCUCUACAUCGACGACGCAGGCUGGGGCCCCGAGGCCGGCUCAAUCGAGUAUGGAUACCGGGUCCCCUUCGGCGGAAUCCACGUCUUCAUCGGCAUGAUCGGCGAACCGGGCCCUGAGCCGGACACCUGCACUGACAUCAUCGAGACGGCUCAGUGUGCACGACCCGCCCGGGUUCAGCCCGCCGUAAAGCGUGCUUUCGUUGGAUGGAUCCACGGGGCUGAAUUGGAAGGCUCCGUGUCUGGUGGUGAGACGACCAUCUACUAUGAUGGUGAGUCAUCCACGGGCGAGACCAACUCAAUGUAUCAGCUACAAGACAAACGGCUUAGUGUUCCGAUGGCGACAGUAUUCCGGACCCCCAUGAGCUGCCGAACAGGGUGGCGAUUUUCAUGGCUGGCACCCAGCCGGUUCUUGGUUUGACAGCCGUCACGGCCAUGACUUCCAGUGCGGCGGCGGUGACGGCAGCAGGCGUCAGCGGCUCAGUUCGCCCGCCGGCUCAAGCUUUAACAGAUCUAUUGAAUGAUCUAGCAACUCUGAUGGGGGUAGAGGUAACUCCGGACAACGCGAAACCGCAUAAGGCGGAUAUUGCUAAGCUGCGUCAGGAGAUAGCACAGGCUAAGGAAGGCCUGGCGGCUGAGAACGCUAGGAUGAAUGUAGAGCGGUGCUACCUCUUGAGCAUGCGUUGGUUUUCCCUUGAAGAGGAAAGAGUGAUGCAGCAAAGUAGCGUAAGUAUUUCCCUCAGUUUUUGAGAACCAAGGUAUCAAUCCAGUAGGAGGUUACACGCAAGUCGCCUAGUACCUGCACAAACAAAUAAGAACCUUGCAACCAACGCGAUAAAGGGGUUGUCAAUCCCUUCACGGCCACUUGCAAAAGUGAGAUCUGAUAGAGAUAAUAAGAUAAAUAUUUUUGGUAUUUUUGUUGUAUAGAUUGAAAAGUAAAGAUUGCAAAGUAGUAAACGAGAUGUGAUAUAAAUAAAAGAGAUAUAAUAUGAUAGAAAAGAGACCCGGGGCCAUAGGUUUCACUAGUGGCUUCUCUCAAGAUAGCAUAUCUUACAGUGGGUGAACAAAUUACUGUCCAGCAAUUGAUAGAAAAGCGCAUAGUUAUGGGGAAUAUCUAGGCAUGAUCAUGUAUAUAGGCAUCACGUCCGUUACAAGUAGAUCGAAACGAUUCUGCAUCUACUACUAUUACUCCACACAUCGACCGCUAUCCAGCAUGCAUCUAGAGUAUUAAGUUCAUAAGAACAGAGUAACGCAUGAAGCAAGAUGACAUGAUGUAGAGGGAUAAACUCAAGCAAUAUGAUAUAAACCCCAUGUUUUUAUCCUCGAUGGCAACAAUACAAUACGUGCGUUGCUGCCCCUGCUGUCACUAGGAAAGGACACCGCAAGAUUGAACCCAAAGCUAAGCACUUCUCCCAUUGCAAGAAAGAUCAAUCUAGUAGGCCAAACCAAACUGAUAAUUCGAGGAGACUUGCAAAGAUAUCAAAUCAUACAUAUAAGAAUUCAGAGAAGAAUCAAAUAUUGUUCAUAGAUAAUCUUGAUCAUAAACCCACAAUUCAUCGGAUCUCGACAAACACACUGCAAAAAGAAUUACAUCGAAUAGAUCUCCAAGAGGAUCGAGGAGAACUUGGUAUUGAGAAUCAAAGAGAGAGAAGAAGCCAUCUAGCUAAUAACUAUGGACCCGAAGGUCGGUGGUAAACUACUCACACAUCAUUGGAGAAGCUAUGGUGUUGAUAUAGAAGCCCUCCGUGAUCGAUUCCCCCUCCGGAGGAGUGCCGGAAAAGGCCCCAAGAUGGGAUCUCACAGGUACAGAAGGUUACAGCAGUGGAAAUAGGGUUUCGUGGUGCUCUCGGAUGUUUUCGGGGUAUAUGAGUAUAUACAGGUGAAAGAAGUAGGUCGGUGGAGUCACGAGGGGCCCACGAGGGUGGGGGGCGCGCCUACCCCCCUGGGCACACCCUCCUACCUCAUGGCCACCUCGUUGCUUCCUUGACGUCCACUCCAAGUAUCCUGGAUUGUGUUUGUUCCAAAAACGAUUCUCCCGAAGGUUUCUUCUGUGUGGACUCCAUUUGAUAUUCCUUUUCUGCGAAACACUGAAAUAGGCAAAAAACAACAAUUUGCACUGGGCCUCCGGUUAAUAGGUUAGUCCCAAAAAUAAUUUAAAAGUGCAUAAUUAAGCCCAUCAAACAUCCAAAACAGAUAAUAUAAUAGCAUGGAACAAUAAAAAAUUAUAGAUACGUUGGAGACGUAUCAAGCAUCCCCAAGCUUAAUUCCUGUUCGUCCUCAAGUAGGUAAAUGAUAAAAACAGAAUUUUUGAUGUGGAAUGCUACCAAACAUAAUUUUCUAAGUAAUUCUCUUUAUUGUGGCAUGAAUGUUCAGAUUCGAAAGAUUCAAGACAAAAGUUUAAUAUUGACAUAAGAGUAAUAAUACUUCAAGCAUACUAACAAAGUAAUCAUGUCUUCUCAAAAUAACAUGGCCAAAGAAAGUUCAUUCCUACAAAAUCAUAUAGUUUGGCUAUGCUCCAUCUUCGUCACACAAAAUACUCAAAUCAUGCACAACCCCGGUUUCAGCCAAGCAAUUGUUUCACACUUUAAUUUUUUCAAACUUUUUCAACUUUCACGCAAUACAUGAGCGUGAGCCAUGGACAUAGCACUAUGGGUGGAAUAGAAUAUAAUGAUGGGGGUUGUGUGGAGAAGACAAAAAAGGAGAAAGUCUCACAUUGACGCGGCUAAUCAACAGGCUAGGGAGAUGCCCAUCAAUUGAUGCCAAUGCAAGGAGUAGGGAUUGCCAUGCAACGGAUGCACUAGAGCUAUAAAUGUAUGAAAGCUCAACAAAAGAAACUAAGUGGGUGUGCAUCCAACUUGCUUGCUCACUAAGACCUAGGGCAUUUGAGCAAGCCCAUUGUUGGAAUAUACAAGCCAAGUUCUAUAAUGAAAAAUUCCCACUAGUAUAUGAAAGUGACAAAACAAGAGACUCUCUAUCAUAAAGAUCAUGAUCCUACUUAGAAGCACAAGUGUGGAAAAAAGGAUAGUAGCAUUGUCCCUUUUAUUUUGGGCCUUUCUUUUUUUUCUCUUUGGCCUUUCUUUUUUUCUCUUUUUUUAUUUGGGACAAUGCUCUAUUAAUGAUGAUCAUCAAACUUCUAUUUAUUUACAACUCAAUGAUUACAACUCAAUACUAGAACAAAAUAUGACUCUAUAUGAGUGCCUCCGGCAGUGUACCGGGAUGGGCAAUGAAUCAAGAGUGACAUGUAUGAAAAAUUAUGCAUGGUGGCUUUGCCACAAAUACGAUGUCAACUACAUGAUCAUGCAAGGCAAUAUGACAAUGGUAAAGCGUGUCAUAAUAAAUGAAAUGGUGGAAAGUUGCAUGGCAAUAUAUCUUGGAAUGGAUAUGGAAAUGCCAUAAUAGGUAGGUAUGGUGGCUGUUUUGAGGAAGAUAUAAGGAGGUUUAUGUGUGAUAGAGCGUAUCAUAUCACGGGGUUUGGAUGCACCGGUGAAGUUUGCACCAACUCUGAAGGUGAGAAAGGGCAAUGCACGGUACCGAAGAGGCUAGCAAUGAUGGAAGGGUGAGAGUGCGUAUAAUCCAUGGACUCAACAUUAGUCAUAAUGAACUCACAUACUUAUUGCAGAAAUCUACAAGUCAGCAAAACAAAGUACUACAUGCAUGCCCCUAGGGGAAGGGUUGGUAGGAGUUAACCAUCGCGCGAUCCCGACCUCCACACAAAGGAUGACAAUCAAAGAAAUACCUCAUGCUUCAAAUUUAUCACACAACGGUUACCAUACGUGCAUGCUACGGGACUUGCAAACCUCAACACAAGUAUUUCUCAAAUUCACAACUACUCUACUAGCAUGACUCUAAUAUCACCAUCCUCAUAUCUCAAAACGAUCAUCAAGCAUCAAACUUCUCAUAGUAUUCAAUGCACUUUUUAUGAAAGUUUUUAUUAUACCCAUCUUGGAUGCCUAUCAUAUUAGGAAUAAUUUUAUAGCCAAAGCAAACUACCAUGCUAUUCUAAAGGACUCUCAAAAUAAUAUAAGUGAAGCAUGAGAGAUCAAUAAUUUCUACAAAAUAAAACCACCACCAUGCUCUAAAAGAUAUAAGUGAAGUACUAGAGCAAAAUUAUCUAGCUCAAAAGAUAUAAGUGAAGCACAUAGAGUAUUCUAAUAAAUUCGGAUUCAUGUGUGUCUCUCUCAAAAGGUGUGUACAGCAAGGAUGAUUGUGGUAAACUAAAAAGCAAAGACUCAAAUCAUACAAGACGCUCUAAGCAAAACACAAAUCAUGUGGUGAAUAAAAAUAUAGCCUCAAGUAAAGUUACUGAUAGAUGAAGACAAAAGAGGGGAUGCCUUCUGGGGCAUCCCCAAGCUUAGGCUUUUGGUUGUCCUUGAAUUUUACCUUGGGGUGCCUUGGGCAUCCCCAAGCUUAGGCUCUUGCCACUCCUUGUUCCAAAAUCCAUCAAAUCAUUACCGAAAAACUUGAAAACUUCACAACACAAAACUCAACAGAAAAUCUCGUGAGAUCCGUUAGUAUAAGAAAACAAACCACCACUUUAAGGUACUGUAAUGAACUCAUUCUUUAUUUAUAUUGGUGUUAAACCUACUGUAUUCCAACUUCUCUAUGGUUCAUACCCCCCGAUACUAGCCCUAGAUUCAUCAAAAUAAGCAAACAACACACGAAAAACAGAAUCUUUCAAAAACAGAACAGUCUGUAUAAAUCUGUAACUUUCGAAUACUUCUGGAACCCCAAAAAUUCUACCAAAUUAGGAAGUCCUGGGUAAUUUGUUUAUUAAUCUUCUGAAAAAAGAAUCAACUGAAAAGCACGUUUCUGUGAUUUAUGAAAACUAAUCUCGUGCGUGCAAAAGUUUCUGUUUUUCAGCAAGAUCAAAUUAACUAACACCGUAGGUUAUCCUAAAGGUUUUACUUGGCACAAACACUAAUUAAAACACAAAACCACAUCUAACCAGAGGCUAGAUGAAUUAUUUAUUACUAAACAGUAACAAAAAGCAAGGAACAAAAAUAAAAUUGGGUUGCCUCUCAACAAGCGCUAUCAUUUAACGCCCCUAGCUAGGCAUUGAUAAUUUCGAUGAUGCUCAAAUGAGAGAUAGCAAUUGAAACACGAAGAGAGCAUCAUGAAACACGUGACAAACACAUCUAAGUAUAACAUACUUCCUAUGCAUAGGCAUCUUAUAGGCAAACAAAUUAUCAUAGCAAGCGAAAACUAGCAUAUGCAAGGAAGCGGAAAGAAACAAUAGCAAUCUCAACAUAACGAGAGGUAAUUUAUUAUCAUGAAAAUUCCUACAACCAUAUUUUCCUCUCUCAUAAUAAUUACAUGUGGGAUCAUAAGCAAAUUCAAUAAAAUCGCUAUCACAUAACAUAUUCUCAACAUGAUCCACAUGCAUGCAAAGUUGACACUCUUCCAAAAUAGUGGGAUUAACAUUAACUAAAGUCAUGACCUCUCCAAACCCACUUUAUCAAAAAUUUCAUAAGAUUGAACAUUCUCCAAAUAUGUGGGAUCUAAAGUUGACACUCUUCCAAACCCACUUUCAAUAUUAUUGCAAAAAUUAUUAUCAAUCUCUUAUUCAUCAUGGGGCUUAAAUAAAUUUUCAAGAUCAUAAGAAGAAUGACCCAAUCAUGAUCAUUGCAACAAGUAGUAGACAUAGCAAAACUAGCAUCCCCAAGCUUAGGGUUUUGCAUAUUAUUAGCACAAUUGACAUCAAGAGAAUUUAUAGUAAAAUCAUUGCAAUCAUGCUUUUUAUUCAAAGAUCUAUCGUGAAUCACUUCAUAAAGCACUUCCUUACAAUUUUCAGAUUCACGAAUUUCAAGCAAAACCUCAUAAAGAUAGGCCAGUACACUCAACUCACUAGCAAUAGGUUCAUCGUAAUUGGAUCUUUUAAAAAGAUUAGCAAGUGGAUGAGGAUCCAUAAACUUUUAGCAAGCAAAGAUGCAAGCAAAAAGGAGGCACACGGUAACACAAGAUCGAACGGAAGGAGAGCGAAGAAAAGGCAAAGGUGAAGUGGGGGAGAGGAAAACGAGAGGCAAAUGGAAAAUAAUGUAAUGCGAGGGAUAAGAGUUUCUGAUGGGUACUUGGUAUGUCUUGAAUUGUGCGUAGAUCUCCCCGGCAACGGCACCAGAAAUCGGCGAGUUGUUCGGAGAUCAAAUCUUGACUUGACUUGGCGUAAGCCUCCCCGGCAACGGCGCCAGAAAUCCUUCUUGCUAGCUCUUGAGCAUGCGUUGGUUUUCCCUUGAAGAGGAAAGGGUGAUGCAGCAAAGUAGCGUAAGUAUUUCCCUUAGUUUUUGAGAACCAAGGUAUCAAUCCAGUAGGAGGUUACACGCAAGUCGCCUAGUACCUGCACAAACAAAUAAUAACCUUGCAACCAACGCGAUAAAGGGGUUGUCAAUCCCUUCACGGUCACUUGCAAAAGUGAGAUCUGAUAGGGAUAAUAAGAUAAAUAUUUUUGGUAUUUUUGUUGUAUAGAUUGAAAAGUAAAGAUUGCAAAAUAGUAAACGAGAUGCAAUAUAAAUAAAAGAGAUAUAAUAUGAUAGAAAAGAAACCCUGGGCCAUAGGUUCACUAGUGGCUUCUCUCAACAUAGCAUAUCUUACGGUGGGUGAACAAAUUACUGUCGAGCAAUUGAUAGAAAAGCGCAUAGUUAUGAGAAUAUCUAGGCAUGAUCAUGUAUAUAGGCAUCACGUCCGUGACAAGUAGAUCAAAACGAUUCUGCAUCUACUACUAUUACUCCACACAUCGACCGCUAUCCAUCAUGCAUUUAGAGUAUUAAGUUCAUAAGAACAGAGUAACGCAUUAAGCAAGAUGACAUGAUGUAGAGGGAUAAACUCAAGCAAUAUGAUAUAAACCCCAUCUUUUUAUCCUCGAUGCCAACAAUACAAUACGUGCCUUGCUGCCCCUGCUGUCACUGGGAAAGAACACCGCAAGAUUGAACCCAAAGCUAAGCACUUCUCCCAUUGCAAGAAAGAUCAAUCUAGUAGGCCAAACCAAACUGAUAAUUCGAAGAGACUUGCAAAGAUAUCAAAUCAUACAUAUAAGAAUUCAAAGAAGAAUCAAAUAUUGUUCAUAGAUAAUCUUGAUCAUAAACCCACAAUUCAUCGGAUCUCGACAAACACACCGCAAAAAGAAUUACAUCGAAUAGAUCUCCAAGAGGAUCGAGGAGAACUUGGUAUUGAGAAUCAAAGAGAGAGAAAAGAAGCCAUCUAGCUAUUAACUAUGGACCCGAAGGUCUGUGGUAAACUACUCACACAUCAUCGGAGAAGCUAUGGUGUUGAUGUAGAAGCCCUCUGUGAUCGAUUCCUGAUACAUCCAUUUUGCAUCAUGCUUUUAUAUCAAUAUUUAUUGCAUUAUGGGCUGUUAUUACACAUUAUGUCACCAUACUUAUGCCUAUUCUCUCUUAUUUUACAAGGUUUACAUAAGGAGGGAGAAUGCCGGCAGCUGGAAUUCUGGGCUGGAAAAGGAGCAAAUAUUAGAGACCUAUUCUGCGCAACUCCAAAAGUCCUGAAACUCCACGAAAGUUAUUUUUGGAAAUAAUAAAAAAUAUUGAGCGGAAGAAGUACGUCAGAGGGGGCCCCACCUGGCCAUGAGGGUGGGGGGCGCGCCCCCUGCCUCGUGGGCCCCCUGUUGGCCCUCCGGUGGCCAUCUUCUGCUAUAUGAUGUCUUUCGUCCAAAAAAAAUCAGAAGCAAGCUUUCGGGACGAGACUCCGCCGCCACGAGGCGGAACCUUGGCGGAACCAAUCUAGGGCUCCGGCAGAGCUGUUCUGCCGGGGACACUUCCCUCCGGGAGGGGGAAAUCAUCGCCAUCGUCAUCACCAACGCUCCUGUCAUCGGGAGAGGGAAAUCUCCAUCAACAUCUUCACGAGCACCAUCUCCUCUCAAAGCCCUAGUUCAUCUCUUGUAUCCAAUUCUUGUCUCUAAGUCCGGGAUUGGUACCUGUAGGUUGCUAGUAGUGUUGAUUACUCCUUGUAGUUGAUGCUAGUUGGUUUAUUUGGUGGAAGAUCAUAUGCUCUGAUCCUUUAUGCACAUUAAUACCCCUCUGAUUAUGAACAUGACUAUGCUUUGUGAGUAGUUACGUUUGUUCCUGAGGACAUGGGAGAAGUCUUGCUAUUAGUAGUCAUGUGAAUUUGGUAUUCGUUCGAUAUUUUGAUGAGAUGUAUGUUGUCUAUCCUCUAGUGGUGUUAUGUGAACGUCGACUACAUAACACUUCACCAUUGUUUGGGCCUAGAGGAAGGCAUUGGGAAGUAAUAAGUAGAUGAUGGGUUGCUAGAGUGACAGAAGCUUAAACCCUAGUUUAUGCGUUGCUUCGUAAGGGGUUGAUUUGGAUCCAUAUGUUUCAUGCUAUGGUUAGGUUUACCUUAAUACUUUUGUUGUAGUUGUGGAUGCUUGCAAUAGAGGUUAAUCAUAAGUGGGAUGCUUGUUCAAGUAAGAACAGCACCCAAGCACCGGUCCACCCACAUAUCAAAUUAUCAAAGUACCGAACGCGAAUCAUAUGAACGUGAUGAAAGCUAGCUUGACGAUAAUUCCCAUGUGUCCUCGGGAGCGCUUUUCUCUAUAUAAGAGUUUGUCCAGGCUUGUCCUUUGCUACAAAAAAGAUUGGGCCACCUUGCUGCACUUUAUUUACUUUUGUUAGUUGUUGCUCGUUACAAAUUAUCCUAACACAAAACUACCUGUUACCUAUUAUUUCAGUGCUUGCAGAGAAUACCUUGCUGAAAAUCGCUUAUCAUUUCCUUCUGCUCCUCGUUGGGUUCGACACUCUUACUUAUCGGAAGGACUACGAUAGAUCCCCUAUACUUGUGGGUCAUCAAUUCCCCCUCCAGCGGAGCGUCGGAAAAGGCCCCAAGAUGGGAUCUCACGGUUACAGAAGGUUGUGGCGGUGGAAAUAGGGUUUUGUGGUGCUCUCGGAUGUUUUCGGGGUAUAUGAGUAUAUAUAGGCGAAAGAAGUAGGUCGGCGGAGUCACGAGGGGCCCACGAGGGUGGGGGGCACGCCUACCCCCUUGGGCGCGCCCUCCUACCUCGUGGCCACCUCGUUGCUUCCUUGACGUCCACUCCAAGUCUCCUGGAUUGUGUUUGUUCGAAAAAUGAUUCUGCCGAAGGUUUCAUUCCGUUUGGACUCCGUUUGAUAUUCCUUUUCUGCGAAACACUGAAAUAGGCAAAAAAUAGCAAUUUGCACUGGGCCUCCGGUUAAUAGGUUAGUCCCAAAAAUAAUUUAAAAGUGCAUAAUAAAGCCCAUUAAACAUCCAAAACAGAUAAUAUAAUAGCAUGUAACAAUAAAAAAUUAUAGAUACGUUGGAGACGUAUCAAGCGGGCCAUCUUAAACGCCCAAGCACAGCGGAUUCAAGCGGACUCAUACCGGCUCUCAGUGGAUCAGAACGCCACAAAUGAAGUCCCGAGGAGAAAGCACCAGAGCCGUCUGCCCUUCGUCUAUGAUUCAAGGAACCUCUUCAAUACGCCUGGGGUAGGGGCCAGUAACCCACCAGGUUUAAAUCAGAUGACUGGAGCGCCAGGAGGUGGAACGCCGGUUCAGCCGCACGUGAUAGGUUCGCCGCAUAUGAAUAACAACCCGCCUCAGCAUGUGGUGACACCGCCGGGUCAUUACGCUACCCCUUUGGACAAUAUGAUUGCUGUAGCUAUGCGAUUGGCGGCUCCGCCAGUCGAGGGUGAGACUCCAACGGUGGUUGAAACCCGCAGGGCCAGGGAGCUUCUUCAAACAGCUUUGGUACAGUAGCAGGCCUACUCAUAUAGUCAUGACCGAAUUCAUUCGACCCCUCGUCCAAGCCGGAGCUACAGUAGGCACAUUGAUUCACCAGCAGUUUCGAGUACUGAGCGGCGUCGUAACCAACCUCAUGGUCACGACCCGGCGCGCAAUGGUGCCAAUGCAUAGGAUUUGGUGGAUCAGGGAAGAGCGCGCCGGGAGGCCGAGCUGGCGGCUCAUCAGCACGCGCCAGUUUACCCGACGGCUUCGGUUGAGGCAUGUGUAACUUCUAGAGCUUUCGGCGUGCCGUGUCUAACGACGGCUCUACGGAACGAGCGUUUGCCCAAGGACUUCAAAGGCCCUCGCAAGGUGCCCAAUUACACAGCAGAUCAGCCCCCUGAGGCUUGGGUGGAGAGUUAUGAGAUGGCUAUGGAGAUGCUGGAUGUUAGCGAGGCUACGUACGCUAAGUAUUUCACCAUGAUGCUGGAAGGGACGGCUCGUACCUGGUUGAAGGGGCUACCAGCUAACUCCAUCGGAUCAUGGGCAGAGCUGAAAGCCCGGUUUAUCCAGAAUUUCAAAGAUACAUGCAAGCAGCCCAUGUCGAUUGUGGAUUUGGUUUCUUGUGUUCAAGCUGAGGGCGAGUCAACAACCAGCUGGGUGCGCCGGGUCUCGACUAUCAUACAUUCUUCAGAUAACAUCAUUGUCGGUUCAGCGGUUCUAAUGUUGGAGAAAAAUUGCCGUUUCAUUCCACUCAAAUAGAAGCUUGGGCGGCUUAAGCGUCAUUGCAAUGACAUGGGGGAGCUUAUGGCGGCUCUUGUUAAGUAUGCCGACUCUGAUGGUACCAAGGACACCGACUCUGAAGAUGAAAGAUCGGGAAAGGGAAAGAAGAGUAGCGGCUUGAAGGGACAGCAGUACAACCCUGCCAGUCAGGGUGGCAAUGGUAAGCGCAAGGCUGAUGAUUUUGUGGCUAACACCGGUGCACGCAAUUAUAACCAGCGUCGUAAGGGACCACCGGUUCAAAGGACAGGGUUUGACCUUGAUGCAAUGUUAAGUCAGCCGUGUUAGGGACUCCAUCCAGCGCCACCAUGGCCCGAACGACGGAUCAGGGUCCGGUUCUCAUGGUCCGGGUCAAGGAGGCGGCGGUUCAAAUUCCGGGUUUCAAGGCCACGGUAACCAGGGUGGCUACAACCAGCAGAAUAAUCAGGGAAAUCAGCAGCAGCAGCAGUCUGGUUAUCAGAGCAACCCGAAGCAGUUGAAUAGUGGACAGUACCACGUCUUCACCACUAGCUUAUGUAAGCGGGAUCAGAAGCUUCAUAAGAGGCCAGUCAAUGCUGUUGAACCGGCAGUACCACGUUACUUGUGGUGGUCUGAGCAGCCUAUUGUGUGGAGUCGUGAGGAUCACCCGCCCCGGGUUGAUAAUCCGGGUCACCUGGCUCUGGUGGUGGCGCCUCAGGUUGGGGGCUAUAAGUUUACUAAGGUACUCAUGGAUGGAGGCAGCAACAUCAACAUACUUUACUAUGAGACCUUCCGUCGCAUGGGAUUGACUGACAAAAAUCUUAAUACAUCAAACACUGUUUUCCAUGGUGUGGUGCCGGGUAAGUCAGCCUACCCAGUGGGUAAGAUAUCUUUGGAGGUUGCCUUUGGAGAUGAGCAUGAUUCCAGAUCUGAGACUCUAACCUUUGAAGUGGUCAAGAUCAAGAGCCCUUAUCAUGCUCUGUUUGGGCGGCCGGCUUAUGCUAAGUUCAUGGCGAGGCCUUGUUAUGUUUACUUGCAGCUUAAGAUGCCAGGUUACAAGGGCACCAUCACCGUGCAUGGGAGUCGAAAGGUGGCCUUGGAAUAUGAAGAAGGUGAUGUUGCUUAUGCUGAAUCUGUUUGUGCAACGGAGGAGCUGAAAUUUUAUAAGGAUAACGUUGACCCGGCAGACAUGACAUCCUUGAAAAAGCCAACCACAGAGCAUGAUCCUUCGUUAAAGUUUAAGUCGGCAGAUGAGACUAAAUUGGUUGACUUUGUUCCUGGCAACUCAUCUAAGCAGUUCAACAUCAGUGCUAAUUUGGAUCUGAAAUAGGAAAGCGCGCUCAUUGGGUUCAUCCUUGAGAACUGGGACAUCUUCGCAUGGAAGACUUCAGACAUGCCAGGUGUACCGAGGGAACUCGCUGAGCACACUCUUAAUAUUGAUCCGAAAUUUAAGCCGGUCAGGCAAUUCCUUCAUCGUUUUAACGAUGAGAGGCAGAAGGCCAUUGGUGAAGAAGUGGCCCAGCUCUUGGCGGCUGGGUUCAUUGUUGAAGUUUUUCAUCCUGAGUGGUUGGCUAACCCAGUGUUGGUACUCAAGAAGAACGGCACUUGGCGAAUGUGUGUGGAUUACACAGACUUAAAUAAGGCUUGUCCGUCUAAUCCGUCUGCUCUCCCCCGUAUUGAUCAAAUCAUUGAUGCUACGACGGGUUGUGAGCGUCUGGGUUUUUGGGAUGCUUAUUCUGGUUAUCAUCAGAUCAAAAUGGCAGUUAAGGACCAGGAGAAGACGGCUUUCAUUACUCUGUUUGGAGCCUUCUGUUAUGUGUCUAUGCCUUUUGGGCUCAAGAGUGCCCAGGCGACUUACCAGCGGUGUGUGAAAUAUUGCCUUCAUAAUCAGAUUGGGCGUAAUGUUCAUGCUUAUGUAGAUGACAUCGUGGUGAAGUCCAGAAUGAAAGAGACCUUGAUUAAUGAUUUAAAGGAGACGUUUGACAAUCUCCGGGUCUACAAAAUGAUGCUUAACCCGGCCAAGUGUGUUUUUGGUGUACCAGCAGGCAAGCUCUUAGGUUUUCUGGUUUCUAACAGAGGCAUUGAAGCUAACCCGGAGAAGAUUAAGGCUAUUACCUCUCUGGCGAAGCCGAAGUGUGUCAAUGACGUCCAACGCUUGGCGGGUCGAAUUGCAGCUUUGAGCCGGUUCAUAAGCCGCCUCGGAGAAAAGGCCAUCCCUCUGUAUCAGAUGAUGAAGAAAACAGAUGACUUCGUUUGGAGUGAUGCUGCUAAUGAGGCGUUCGAGGCACUUACGAAGCAGCUGGCUGAGCCGCCGGUUCUUGCUGCUCCUAUUGAUAAAGAGCCUCUGUUGUUAUAUGUGGCUGCCAAUGGCCGGGUUGCCAGUGUAGCUAUUGUGGUGGAAAGGAAAGAGGCAGGCAAGGAGUACCCGGUUCAAUGGCCGGUUUACUACAUCAGUGAGGUACUUAUUGAGUCCAAGCAGAGGUAUCCGCACUGGCAGAAGCUUGUGUAUGGGGUCUUCAUGGCAAGUCGGAAGCUUAAGCAAUAUUUUCAGGGUCACCCCAUUACUGUGGUUAGCUCUGUUCCUUUGGGAGAUAUCAUCCAAAAUAGAGAAGCCACAGGAUGAGUCGCCAAGUGGGCCAUUGAGCUUGGACCCCAUGAUCUGAAAUAUGUGCCUCGCACGGCCAUCAAGUCACAGGCAGUCGUGGAUUUUAUCAAUGACUGGACAGAAUUGCAGGCGCCUGAAGAAAAACCGAAUAACACAUACUGGACUAUUCACUUUGAUGGAUCCAGGCAGUUGGAGCGCUCGGGGGCUGGAGUUGUAUUGACAUCCCCACGAGGUGAUAAAUUUUCUUAUGUUCUCCGGUUAAUGUUCCCUUGUACUAACAAUGCAGCUGAGUAUGAGGCCUUGCUCCAUGGUCUUCGGAUGGCUAAAGAGAUGAAUUUAAGCCGGGUGAGGUGCUUUGGCGAUUCAGAUCUGGUGGCUCAGCAAGUUUCUGGUACAUGGGAUUCUAAGGAUCCACUCAUGGCGGCUUAUCGCCGUGAGGUUGAUGCUAUUGCAGGUCAUUUCAAGGGUUAUCAAGUUGAGCAUAUUGAUCGCAGGAAGAACGAGGUGGCUGAUACUUUAAGCCGGCUAGGGUCUCAGCGAAAGCCGGUGCCACCUAACACGUUUCUGGAUAUUUUGCUUAACCCUUCUGUCAAAUUACCUUCAGAAGAAGAUCUUGCUGUCCCUGACCCAGAAGCACAAUUGGUGGCGGCUCUUCAUGCUAUUCCUGAUUGGACAGUUCCGUAUUUGGCUUACAUGACCCGAGGUGAGUUGCCAGAGGAUGAGAUUUUGGCCAGACUGAUAACCCGGCGGUCUAAGACAAUGUCAAUUGUCAAUGGGGAGUUGCACCAUCGCAGUGUCACAGGGGCGUUUCAGCGCUGCGUCUCUCCUGAAGAAGGCUGUGAGAUUCUACGGGAGAUUCAUGAAGGAGAUUGUGGUCAUCAUGAUGGCUCUAAAUCUCUUGUAGCCAAGGCUUUUCGUCAUAGUUUUUAUUGGUUGAUGGCUCAUGCUGAUGCAGAGGAUUUGGUCAGCAAGUGUGACGGUUGUCAGAAGUUUUCACGACGAGCUCAUGUUCCGGCUCAAGAAUUGAGGAUGAUUAAAAUUACUUGGCCGCGACUUGGGGGCUUGAUAUGGUUGGGCCUUUCAAGAGGUCCAAGGAUAAGAAAACCCACCUUUUGGUGGCAGUUGAUAAGUUUACCAAGUGGGUUGAAGCAGAGCCGGUUAGUAAGUGUGAUGCAACAACGACGGUUCAAUUCAUCAAGAAGGUGAUCUUUCGUUUUGGCUUUUGAUACAUCUCCAUCGUAUCUACUUUUCCAAACACUUUUGCCCUUGUUUUGGACUCUAACUUGUAUGAUUUGAAUGGAACUAACCCGGACUGACGUUGUUUUCAGCAGAAUUGCCAUGGUGCUAUUUUUGUGCAGAAAUAAAAGUUCUCGAAAUGACCUGAAACUUCACGGGGAAUAUUUUUGGAAUUUAUAAAAAAUACUGGCGAAAGAAUCAAGACUAGGGGGCCCACACCUUGUCCACGAGGGUGGGGGCGCGCCUGCCCCCCUGGGCGCGCCCCCUGUCUCGUGGGCCCCCUCCACCGACCUCAACUCUAAUUCUAUAUAUUCACGUUCGGGGAGAAAAAAAAUCAGAGAGAAAGAUUCAUCGCGUUUUACGAUACGGAGCUGCCGCCAAGCCCUAAUCUCUCUCGGGAGGGCUGAUUUGGAGUCCGUUCGGGGCUCCGGAGAGGGGAAUCCGUCGCCGUCGUCAUCAUCAACCAUCCUCCACCACCAAUUUCAUGAUGAUCACCGCCGUGCUUGAGUAAUUCUAUCGUAGGCUUGCUGGACGGUGAUGGGUUGGAUGAGAUUUAUCAUGUAAUCGAGUUAGUUUUGUUAGGGUUUGAUCCCUAGUAUCCACUAUGUUCUGAGAUUGAUGUUGCUAUGACUUUGCUAUGCUUAAUGCUUGUCACUAGGGCCCGAGUGCCAUGAUUUCAGAUCUGAACCUAUUAUUUUUUCAUGAAUAAAUGUGAGUUCUCGAUCCUAUCUUGCAAGUCAAUAGUUACCUACUAUGUGUUAUGAUCCGGCAACCCCGAAGUGACAAUAAUCGGGACCACUCCCGGUGAUGACCGUAGUUUGAGGAGUUCAUGUAUUCACUAAGUGUUGAUGCUUUGGUCCGGUACUCUAUUAAAAAAGGCAUUAAUAUCCCUUAGUUUCCAAUAGGACCCCGCUGCCACGGGAGGGUAGGACAAAAGAUGUCAUGCAAGUUCUUUUCCAUAAGCACGUAUGACUAUAUUCGGAAUACAUGCCUACAUUAUAUUAAUGAAUUGGAGCUAGUUCUGUGUCACCCUAUGUUAUAACUGUUGCAUGAAGAAUCGCAUCCGACAUAAUUAUCCAUCAUUGAUCCAAUGCCUAUGAGCUUUUCACAUAUUGAUCUUUGCUUAGUUACUUUACCGUUGUCACUGUUACAAUUACUACCAAACUGCUACUGUUACCUUUGCCACUGUUACCGUUACUUCCAUACUACUUUGCUACUAAAUACUUUGCUGCAGAUAAUAAGUUAUCCAGGUGUGGUUGAAUUGACAACUCAACUGCUUAUACUUGAGAAUAUUAUUUGGCUCCCCUUGUGUAGAAUCAAUAAAUUUGGGUUGACUCUACCCUCGAAAACUGUUGCGAUCCCCUAUACUUGUGGGUUAUCAAGACUAUUUUCUAGCACCGUUGCCGCGGAGCAUAGCUCUAUUCUUUGAGUCACUUGGGAUUUAUAUCUGCUGGUCACUAUGAGGAACUUGAAAGAUGAGAAAACCAAGAUUUAUCCCUCAACUACGAGGGGAAGUAAGGAACUGCCAUCUAGCUCUGCACUUGAUUCACCUUCUGUUUUGAGUAAACUUGCGACACCUAAACCUGCUUCUGCUAUUAAUUCUGAUAUGUCGCAUGUUAUUGAUGAUGCCACUUCUGCUUUGCAUGAUAUUUAUGAUGAAACUACUUCUAUGCUUGAUAAUACUGUGCCACUAGGUGAAUUUCUUGAUGAACAACUUGCUAGGGCUAGAGAGAAUGAAAUUAUUGAAACUAAUAAUAUUGAUGAAAGUGAUGAUGAAGAUUCUCCCCCCUAGAUAUGAAUUGCAUGUUGUGCCUGAGGGUUAUGUUAUGGAUGAAGAAACUGCUAGAGACUUUCUUGCUUGCAAUGAUAGAUAUGAUCUUAAGAAAUUAUUAGCUAAGCUGAAAGAAAAGUCUUUGAAUGCUAGAAUGAAAUAUGACCCUGCUUUUGCUACUUCACCUAUCUGUAUCACUGAUAAGGAUUAUGAUUUCUCUGCUAAACAAGAAAACUUCAAUGCUUAUGUUGGUAGACAAUUGAAACGUAAUGCUUAUAUGAUUGAGCACUUGAGUGAUUAUAUGUCCAGAGUUAAAGGUGAACUUAAAGUUAUUAGUAAACAUGCUUCUAUGGUUACCACUCAAGUAGAGUGCUUAAAGCUCAAAAUGAUUUGCUCAAUGAAUUAAAUAAUAAGAAAAAUGAUAAUGCUGUUAGAGUUAUGACUAGAGGGGGUAAAAUGACUCAGGAACCUUUGUAUCCCGAGGGCCACCCUAAGAGAAUUGAGCAAGAUUCUCAGAGAACUAAUGUUGAUGCACCUAGUCCUUUUAAGAGGAAGAAAAAGAAAAAUGAUAGGACUUUGCAUGCUGCUAGUGAACCUGUUGUUGAUACACUUGAGAAUCCCAAUGAUAUUUCUAUUUCUGAUGCUGAAACACAAUCUGGUGAUGAACAUGAACCCAGUGAUAAUGUUAAUGAUGAUGUUCAUGUUGAUGCUCAACCUAGCAAUUACAAUGACGUAGAGAUUGAACCUACAGUUGAUCUUGAUAACCCACAAUCAAAGAAUCAAUGUUAUGAUAAGAGAGACUUUCUCGCUAGGAAGCAUGGUAAGGAAAGAGAACCAUGGGUUUAGAAACCCAUGCCUUUUCCUCCUAAACCAUCCAAGAAAAAGGAUGAUGAGUAUUUUGAGCGCUUUGCUGAAAUGAUUAGACCUAUCUUUUUGCGUAUGCGUUUGACUGAUAUGCUUAAAAUGAAUCCUUAUGCUAAGUAUAUGAAGGAAAUUGUUACAAAUAAAAGAAAGAUACUGGAAGCUGAAAUUUCCACCAUGCUUGCUAAUUAUAGUUUUAAGGGUGGAAUACCUAAGAAACUAGGAGAUCGAGGAGUACCAACUAUACCAUGCUCCAUUAAAAGAAACUAUGUUAAAACUACGUUAUGUGAUCUUGGAGUCGGUGUUAGUGUUAUGCCUCUCUCUUUAUAUCGUAGACUUGAUUUGAAUAAGUUGACACCUACUAAAAUAUCCUUCCAAAUGGCCGAUAAAUCAAUCGCUAUACCUGUCGGUAUUUGUGAGGAUGUGCCUGUUGUGGUUCCAAACGUUACUAUCUUAACAAACUUUGUUAUACUUGAUAUUCCCGAGGACGAUAGUAUGUCGAUUAUCCUGUUGGAGAUCGUUGCAGAAUUUUAAAAUUUUCUACGCAUCACCAAGAUCCAUCUAUGGAGUUUACUAGCAACGAGAGGGAAGGAGUGCAUCUACAUACCCUUGUAGAUCGCGAGCGGAAGCGUUCAAGUGAACGGGGUUGAUGGAGUCGUACUCGUCGUGAUCCAAAUCACCGAUGACCGAGCGCCGAACGGACGGCACCUCCGCGUUCAACACACGUACGGAGCAGCGACGUCUCCUCCUUCUUGAUCCAGCAAGGGGAAAGGAGAGGUUGAUGGAGAUCCAGCAGCACGACGGCGUGGUGGUGGAAGUAGCGGGGAUCCCGGCAGGGCUUCGCCAAGCGCAAGCGGGAGGGAGAGGUGUCACGGGAGGGAGAGGGAGGCGCCAGGGGCUGUGGUGCGGCUGCCCUCCCUCCCCCNNNNNNNNNNNNNNNNNNNNNNNNNNNNNNNNNNNNNNNNNNNNNNNNNNNNNNNNNNNNNNNNNNNNNNNNNNNNNNNNNNNNNNNNNNNNNNNNNNNNNNNNNNNNNNNNNNNNNNNNNNNNNNNNNNNNNNNNNNNNNNNNNNNNNNNNNNNNNNNNNNNNNNNNNNNNNNNNNNNNNNNNNNNNNNNNNNUGGAGAUCCCAUCUGAGGGGGGGGGGGGGUGGCGGCCAAGGGGGUGGCUUGCCCCCCAAGCCAAGUGGGGCGCCCCCACCCCUAGAGUUUCCAACCCUAGGCGCAGGGGAGGCCCAAGGGGGGCGCACCAGACCACCAGUGGCUGGUUCCCCUCCCCACUUCAGCCCAUGGGGCCCUCCGGGAUAGGUGGCCCCACCCGGUGGACCCCCGAGACCCUUCCGGUGGUCCCGGUACAAUACCGAUAACCCCCGAAACAUUCCCGGUGGCCGAAACUAGACUUCCUAUAUAUAAUUCUUCACCUCCGGACCAUUUCGGAACUCCUCGUGACGUCCGCGAUCUCAUACGGGACUCCAAACAACUUUCGGGUUACCGCAUACUAAUAUCUCUACAACCCUAGCGUCACCGAACCUUAAGUGUGUAGACCCUACGGGUUCGGGAGACAUGCAGACAUGACCGAGACGCCUCUUCGGUCAAUAACCAACAGCGGGAUCUGGAUACCCAUGUUGGCUCCCACAUGUUCCACGAUGAUCUCAUCGGAUGAACCACGAUGUCGAGGAUUCAAUCAAUCCCGUAUACAAUUCCCUUUGUCAAUCGGUACGUUACUUGCCCGAGAUUCGAUCGUCGGUAUCCCAAUACCUUGUUCAAUCUCGUUACCGGCAAGUCACUUUACUCGUACCGUAAUGCAUGAUCCCGUGACCAGACACUUGGUCACAUUGAGCUCAUCACGAUGAUGCAUUACCGAGUGGGCCCAGAGAUACCUCUCCGUCAUACGGAGUGACAAAUCCCAGUCUCGAUCCGUGCCAACCCAAGAGACACUUUCGGAGAUACCCGUAGUGCACCUUUAUAGUCACCCAGUUACGUUGUGACGUUUGGUACACCCAAAGCACUCCUACGGCAUCCGGGAGUUGCACAAUCUCAUGGUCUAAGGAAAUGAUACUUGACAUUGGAAAAGCUCUAGCAAACAAACUACACGAUCUUUUGUGCUAUGCUUAGGAUUGGGUCUUGUCCAUCACAUCAUUCUCCUAAUGAUGUGAUCCCGUUAUCAAUGACAUCCAAUGUCCAUAGUCAGGAAACCAUGACUAUCUGUUGAUCAAUGAGCCAGUCAACUAGAGGCUCACUAGGGACAUGUUGUGGUCUAUGUGUUCACACAUGUAUUACGAUUUCCGGAUAACACAAUUAUAGCAUGAACAAUAGACAAUUAUCAUGAACAAGGAAAUAUAAUAAUAACCAUUUUAUUAUUGCCUCUAGGGCAUAUUUCCAACAGUCUCCCACUUGCACUAGAGUCAAUAAUAUAGUUACAUUGUGAUGAAUCGAACACCCAUAGAGUUCUAGUGUUGAUCAUGUUUUGCUCUAGGGAGAGGUUUAGUCAAUGGAUCUGCUACAUUCAGGUCCGUAUGUACUUUACAAAUAUCUAUGUCUCCAUUCUGAACACUUUCACGAAUGGAGUUGAAGCGACGCUUGAUAUGCCUGGUCUUCCUGUGAAACCUGGGCUCCUUGGCAAGGGCAAUGGCUCCAGUGUUGUCACAGAAGAGAGUCAUCGGGCCCGACGCAUUGGGAAUCACCCCUAGGUCGGUAAUGAACUCCUUUAUCCAGACUCCUUCCUGUGCUGCCUCUGAGGCCGCCAUGUACUCCGCUUCACAAGUAGAUCCCGCCACGACGCUUUGCUUGCAACUGCACCAGCUUACUGCCCCUCCAUUCAAAAUAUACACGUAUCCGGUUUGUGACUUAUAGUCAUCCAGAUCUGUGUCGAAGCUAGCGUCGACGUAACCCUUUACGACGAGCUCUUCGUCACCUCCAUAAACGAGAAACAUAUCCUUAGUCCUUUUCAGGUACUUCAGGAUAUUCUUGACCGCUGUCCAGUGUUCCAUGCCGGGAUUACUUUGGUACCUUCCUACCAAACUUACGGCAAGGUUUACAUCAGGUCUGGUACACAGCAUGGCAUACAUAAUAGACCCUAUGGCCGAGGCAUAGGGGAUGACACUCAUCUUUUCUCUAUCUUCUGCCGUGGUCGGGCAUUGAGCCGUGCUCAAUUGCACGCCUUGCAAUACAGGCAAGAACCCCUUCUUGGACUGAUCCAUAUUGAACUUCUUCAAUAUCUUGUCAAGGUACGUACUCUGUGAAAGACCAAUGAGGCGUCUUGAUCUAUCUCUAUAGAUCCCGAUGCCUAAUAUGUAAGCAGCUUCUCCAAGGUCCUUCAUUGAAAAACACUUAUUCAAAUAGGCCUUUAUACUUUCCAAGAAUUAUAUAUCAUUUCCCAUCAAUAGUAUGUCAUCCACAUAUAAUAAGAGAAAUGCUACAGAGCUCCCACUCACUUUCUUGUAAACACAGGCUUCUCCAUAAGUCUGUGUAAACCCAUACGCUUUGAUCAUCUCAUCAAAUCGAAUGUUCCAACUCCGAGAUGCUUGCACCAGCCCAUAGAUGGAGCGCUGGAGCUUGCAUACCUUGUUAGCAUUCUUAGGAUCGACAAAACCUUCCGGCUGCAUCAUAUACAAUUCUUCCUUAAGAAAGCCGUUAGGGAAUGCCGUUUUGACGUCCAUCUGCCAUAUCUCAUAAUCAUAGUAUGCGGCAAUUGCUAACAUGAUUCGGACGGACUUCAGCUUCGCUACGGGUGAGAAAGUCUCAUCGUAGUCAACCCCUUGAACUUGUCGAUAACCCUUAGCGACAAGUCGAGCCUUAUAGAUGGUCACAUUACCAUCCGCGUCUGUCUUCUUCUUAAAGAUCCAUUUAUUUUCUAUGGCUCGCGGAUCAUCGGGCAAGUCAGUCAAAGUCCAUACUUCAUUUUCAUACAUGGAUCCUAUCUCGGAUUGCAUGGCUUCAAGCCAUUUGUUGGAAUCCGGGCCCGCCAUUGCUUCUUCAUAGUUCGAAGGUUCACCGUUGUCUAACAACAUGAUUUCCAGGACAGGGUUGCCGUACCACUAUGGUGCAGAACAUGUCCUUGUGGACCUAUGAAGUUCAGCAGUAACUUGAUCCGAAGCUUCAUGAUCAUCAUCAUUAACUUCCUCCCCAGGCGGUGUAGGCACCACAGGAACAUCUUCCCGCGCUAUGCUACUUUCCGGUUCGGAAGGGCUGACUAUCACCUCAUCAAGUUCCACUUUCCUCCCACUCAAUUCUUUCGAGCGAAACUCUUUCUCCAGAAAGGACCCGUUCUUGGCAACAAAGAUCAUGCCUUCGGAUCUGAGGUAGAAGGUAUACCCAAUAGUUUCCUUGGGGUAUCCUAUGAAGACGCAUUUCUCCGACUUGGGUUCGAGCUUUUCAGGUUGAAGGUUCUUGACAUACGCAUCGCAUCCCCAAACUUUUAGAAACGAUAGCUUAGGUUUCUUCCCAAACCAUAAUUCAUAUGGUGUCGUCUCAACGGAUUUCGACGGAGCCCUAUUUAAAGUGAGUGCGGCAGUCUCUAAAGCAUAGCCCCAAAAUGAGAGCGGUAGAUCCGUAAGAGACAUCAUAGAUCGCACCAUAUCCAAUAGAGUGCGAUUACGACGUUCGGACACACCAUUUCGCUGAGGUGUUCCAGGCGGCGUGAGUUGUGAAACGAUUCCACAUUUCCUUAAGUGUGUGCCAAAUUCGUGACUCAAAUAUUCUCCUCCACGAUCUGAUCGUAAGAACUUUAUUUUCCUGUCACGUUGAUUCUCAACCUCACUCUGAAAUUCCUUGAACUUUUCAAAGUUCUCAGACUUGUGUUUCAUUAGGUAGACAUACCCAUAUCUACUUAAGUCAUCAGUGAGAGUGAGAACAUAACGAUAGCCACCGCGAGCCUCAACACUCAUUGGACCGCACACAUCGGUUUGUAUGAUUUCCAAUAAGUUGGUUGCUCGCUCUAUUGUUCCGGAGAACAGAGUCUUGGUCAUCUUACCCAUGAGGCAUGGUUCGCACGUGUCAAAUGAUUCGUAAUCAAGAGACUCCAAAAGUCCAUCUGCAUGGAGCUUCUUCAUGCGCUUGACACCAAUGUGACCAAGGCGGCAGUGCCACAAGUAUGUGGGACUAUCAUGAUCAACUUUACAUCUUUUGGUAUUCACACUAUGAAUAUGUGUAACAUCACGUUCGAGAUUCAUUAAGAAUAAACCAUUGACCAGCGGGGCAUGACCAUAAAACAUAUCUCUCAUAUAAAUAGAACAACCAUUAUUCUCGGAUUUAAAUGAGUAGCCAUCUCGCAUUAAACGAGAUCUAGAUACAAUGUUCAUGCUCAAAGCUGGCACUAAAUAACAAUUAUUGAGGUUUAAAACUAAUCCCGUAGGUAAAUGCAGAGGUAGUGUGCCGACGGCGAUCACAUCGACCUUGGAACCAUUCCCGACGCGCAUCGUCACCUCGUCCUUCGCCAGUCUCCGCUUAUUCCGCAGCUCCUGUUUUGAGUUACAAAUAUGAGCAACCGCAUCGGUAUCAAAUACCCAGGAGCUACUACGAGUACUGGUAAGGUACACAUCAAUUACAUGUAUAUCACAUAUACCUUUGGUGUUGCCGGCCUUCUUGUCCGCUAAGUAUUUGGGGCAGUUCCGCUUCCAGUGACCACUUCCCUUGCAAUAAAAGCACUCAGUCUCAGGCUUGGGCCCAUUCUUUGACUUCUUCCCGGCAACUGGCUUACCGGGCGCGGCAACUCCCUUGCCGUCCUUCUUGAAGUUCUUCUUACCCUUGCCUUUCUUGAACUUAGUGGUUUUAUUCACCAUCAACACUUGAUGUUCCUUUUUGAUCUCCACCUCCGCUGAUUUCAGCAUUGAAUAUACCUCAGGAAUGGUCUUUUCCAUCCCCUGCAUAUUGAAGUUCAUCACAAAGCUCUUGUAGCUUGGUGGAAGCAACUGAAGGAUUCUGUCAAUGACCGCGUCAUCUGGGAGAUUAACUCCCAGCUGAGACAAGCGGUUGUGUAACCCAGACAUUUUGAGUAUGUGCUCACUGACAGAACUAUUUUCCUCCAUUUUACAACUGAAGAACUUGUCGGAGACUUCAUAUCUCUCGACUCGGGCAUGAGCUUGGAAAACCAUUUUCAGCUCUUCGAACAUCUCAUAUGCUCCAUGUUUCUCAAAACGCUUUUGGAGCCCCGGUUCUAAGUUGUAAAGCAUGCCGCACUGAACGAGGGAGUAAUCAUCAGCACGUGAUUGCCAAGCGUUCAUAACGUCUUGGUUCUCUGGGAUGGGUGCUUCACCUAGCGGUGCUUCUAGGACAUAAUCUUUCUUGGCAGCUAUGAGGAUGAUCCUCAGGUUCCGGACCCAGUCCAUAUAGUUGCUGCCAUCAUCUUUCAGCUUGGUUUUCUCUAGGAAGGCGUUCAAGUUGAGGGCAACGUGGGCCAUUUGAUCUACAAGACAUAUUGUAAAGAUUUUAGACUAAGUUCAUGAUAAUUAAGUUCAUCUAAUCAAAUUAUUCAAUGAACUCCCACUCAGAUAGACAUCCCUCUAGUCAUCUAAGUGAAACAUGAUCCGAGUUAACUAGGACGUGUCCGAUCAUCACGUGAGACGGACUAGUCAAGAUAGGUGAACAUCUUCAUGUUGAUCGUAUCUUCUAUACGACUCAUGCUCGACCUUUCGGUCUUCCAUGUUCCGAGGCCAUGUCUGUACAUGCUAGGCUCGUCAAGUCAACCUAAGUGUAUUGCGUGUGUUCCGAGGCCAUGUCAGUACAUGCUAGGCUCGUCAACACCCGUUGUAUGCGAACAUUAGAAUCUAUCACACCCGAUCAUCACGUGGUGCUUCGAAACAACGAACCUUCGCAACGGUGCACAGUUAGGGGGAACACUCUCUUGAAAUUAUUAUAAGGGAUCAUCUUACUUACUACCGUCGUACUAAGCAAAUAAGAUGUAAAACAUGAUAAACAUCACAUGCAAUCAAAUAGUGACAUGAUAUGGCCAAUAUCAUUUUGCUCCUUUGAUCUCCAUCUUCGGGGCGCCAUGAUCAUCUUCGUCACCGGCAUGACACCAUGAUCUCCAUCAUCAUGAUCUCCAUCAUCGUGUCUUCAUUAAGUUGUCACGCCAACGAUUACUUCUACUUCUAUGGCUAACGUGUUUAGCAAUAAAGUAAAGUAAUUUACAUGGCGUUAUUCAAUGACACGCAGGUCAUACAAAAAAUAAAAACAACUCCUAUGGCUCCUGCCGUUUGUCAUACUCAUCGACAUGCAAGUUGUGAUUCCUAUUACAAGAACAUGAUCAAUCUCAUACAUCACAUAUAUCUCAUUCAUCACAUCCUUUUGGCCAUAUCACAUCACAAGGCACAUGCUGCAAAAACAAGUUAGACGGCCUCUAAUUGUUGUUGCAAGUUUUUACGUGGCUUCUAUAGGUUUCUAGCAAGAACGUUUCUUACCUACGUAAAACCACAACGUGAUAUGCCAAUUUCUAUUUACCCUUCAUAAGGACCCUUUUCAUCGAAUCCGUUCCGACUAAAGUGGGAGAGACAGACACCCCCUAGCCACCUUAUGCAACUAGUGCAUGUCAGUCGGUGGAACCUGUCUCACGUAAGCGUACGUGUAAGGUCGGUCCGGGCCGCUUCAUCGCACAAUACCGCCAAAACAAGAUAAGACUAGUAGUGGCAAGAAAAAUUGACAACAUCUACGCCCACAACUGCUUUGUGUUCUACUCGUGCAUAGUAACGACGCAUAGGCCUGGCUCAUGAUGCCACUGUUGGAGAUCAUUGCAGAAUUUUAAAAUUUUCUACGCAUCACCAAGAUCCAUCUAUGGUGUUUACUAGCAACGAGAGGGAAGGAGUGCAUCUACAUACCCUUGUAGAUCGCGAGCGGAAGCGUUCAAGUGAACGGGGUUGAUGGAGUCGUACUCGUCGUGAUCCAAAUCACCGAUGACCGAGCGCCGAACGGACGGCACCUCCGCGUUCAACACACGUACGGAGCAGCGACGUCUCCUCCUUCUUGAUCCAGCAAGGGGAAAGGAGAGGUUGAUGGAGAUCCAGCAGCACGACAGCGUGGUGGUGGAAGUAGCGGGGAUCCCGGCAGGGCUUCGCCAAGCGCAAGCGGGAGGGAGAGGUGUCACGGGAGGGAGAGGGAGGCGCCAGGGGCUAGGGUACUGCUUCCCUCCCUCCCCCACUAUAUAUAGGGGUCCUGGGGGGGGGGGCGCCGGCCCCCUGGAGAUCCCAUCUGAGGGGGGGCGGCGGCCAAGGGGGUGGCUUGCCCCCCAAGCCAAGUGGGGCGCCCCCCACCCCCAGGGUUUCCAACCCUAGGCACAGGGGAGGCCCAAGGGGGGCGCACCAGCCCACCAGUGGCUGGUUCCCCUCCCCACUUCAGCCCAUGGGGCCCUCCGGGAUACGUGGCCCCACCCGAUGGACCCCCGGGACCCUUCCGGUGGUCCCGGUACAAUACCGAUAACCCCCGAUACUUUCCCGGUGGCCGAAACUAGACUUCCUAUAUAUAAUUCUUCACCUCCGGACCAUUCCGGAACUCCUCGUGACGUCCGGGAUCUCAUCCGGGACUCCGAACAACUUUCGGGUUACCGCAUACUAAUAUCUCUACAACCCUAGCGUCACCGAACCUUAAGUGUGUAGACCCUACGGGUUCGGGAGACAUGCAGACAUGACCGAGACGCCUCUCCGGUCAAUAACCAACAGCGGGAUCUGGAUACCCAUGUUGGCUCCCACAUGUUCCACGAUGAUCUCAUCGGAUGAACCACGAUGUCGAGGAUUCAAUCAAUCCCGUAUACAAUUCCCUUUGUCAAUCGGUACGUUACUUGCCCGAGAUUCGAUCGUCGGUAUCCCAAUACCUUGUUCAAUCUCGUUACCGGCAAGUCACUUUACUCGUACCGUAAUGCAUGAUCCCGUGACCAGGCACUUGGUCACAUUGAGCUCAUUAUGAUGAUGCAUUACCGAGUGGGCCCAGAGAUACCUCUCUGUCAUACGGAGUGACAAAUCCCAGUCUCGAUCCGUGCCAACCGAACAGACACUUUCGGAGAUACCCGUAGUGCACCUUUAUAGUCACCCAGUUACGUUGUGACGUUUGGUACACCCAAAGCACUCCUACGGCAUCCGGGAGUUGCACUAUCUCAUGGUCUAAGGAAAUGAUACUUGACAUUGGAAAUGCUCUAGCAAACGAACUACACGAUCUUUUGUGCUAUGCUUAGGAUUGGGUCUUGUCCAUCACAUCAUUCUCCUAAUGAUGUGAUCCCGCUAUCAAUGACAUCCAAUGUCCAUAGUCAGGAAACCAUGACUAUCUGUUGAUCAACGAGCCAGUCAACUAGAGGCUCACUAGGGACAUGUUGUGGUCUAUGUGUUCACACAUGUAUUACGAUUUCCGAAUAACCCAAUUAUAGCAUGAACAAUAGACAAUUAUCAUGAACAAGGAAAUAUAAUAAUAACCAUUUUAUUAUUGCCUCUAGGGCAUAUUUCCAACAUAUCCUUGGUAGACCCUUUUAGAAUACUGCAGGGGCUGUUAUUGAUUGCAACAAAGGCAAUGUCACUUUUCAUCUUAAUGGUAAUGAGCAUACGGUACACUUUCCGAGAAAACAACCUCAAGUCCACAGUAUCAAUUCUAUUGGAAAAAUUCCAUCGAUAAUUAUUGGAGGCUUUAAAUUUCCUCUUCCUACUGUCAAAAAGAAAUAUGAUAUUCUUAUUGUUGGGGAUGUGCAUAUCCCUGUUGAGGUAACCUAGUGCUAUUCGAAAAUUCUCCGGUUUCAUGCUACUCGGAAUGAGUUUGUUAACAAGACUUGAUCAACCUUGUUAGUGGAUUCCUUUUGAUGAGCAUGAGAUGGAUGAAGUUAGAAAGCACAACUCUCUGUACCCUCCUUUUACUUUCUGUUAUUUAGAUAAAUGAAGCAAAAAUAGUGUUUUCUGUCUGUUUUCUGAAUUAUCCGUGCAAUAAAAAAAUACCCCGAAAAUAAAAGUUCUCCAAAUGCCCUGAAAUUGAAAUAUGAUUUUUUCUAGAAUAUUUAAGAAUAUCUGGCACUGAGAAAACCAGGGGGAGCCACCACCUGGCCACGAGGGUCCAGGGCGCGCCCUCCCCCUGGGCGCGCCCCCUGCCUCAUGGGCCCCACAUGGCCCCCUCCACUUAUUCCAGCACCCACACACUUCGUCUUCCUCCAGAAAAAAAUCACUAUACAGCUCAAACUCGUGUUCCAGCUCGUUUUGCUGCAAUUUUCGAUCUCCUUGCUCAAAGCUCCGUUCACAAAACUGCUUUGGGGGAUUGUUCUUCGGUAUGUGACUCCUCCAAUGGUCCAAUUAGGUUUUGUUCUAGUGAUUUAUUCAUUGCAAAUUUUUGCUGCUUAGGUGACCCUGUUCUUGAGCUUGCAUGUCAAAUUUAUUUGGUCCUAGUUAGUUCUAAUGCAUGAUAUAGUCUCUAGGCACUUGUGGGAGUAGUUGCUAUCAAUUUUGUUGAGUUUGGUUCACUUUUAUUUUGAGUCAUUAAAAAUUUCAGAAAAUUUUCAGAGGAAGAAAUAUGUUUAGGAAAAUGUACCAAGGUGGUUCUUCAAGGAAGCAAGGGCCCAGGCCUGCAAUACGUGAGCCGGACCAUGAACCACCAAGAGAAGCUCAAGUGCGGCCUUGUGAAUGGCCGUCAGAAAAUUUCAUGGUACGAGCAGGAAUUAAGGAUGAAUUUGACGCGUAUGUGCGUAAUGCUGAACUCGAGGGCUUCGUGUCAGAUAAGUGCCCCCAACAUUACUACCUAACUGAUUCCUUUGUGAGAAGGUUUAAAUUUACAUCAUCACGCAACUCUCACAUGGUCUUGUUUGAUCUUUAUGAUAAAUCUUAUACCAUGGAUUUAGAGGAUUUUAAUACUGCUUGUAAACUCCCGCAGUGGGGUAGUGCUAGUGAACCUCGCAAAUAUGAAUAUAAAGACUUUCUUGCUCGUAUAACUGUGGGGGAAUCUAGGGAAAUCACGCAAGCUACCAUAGGGAGUAUUCAUUUUCCUGCCAUACAUUAUUUUGCUCUCUUUAUAGAUAGAUGCAUCAACGGAAAGGACGAGGCAUGUCACAUGUGCGUCCCCGAUCUUAGUGUUCUCAGGAGCGCUGUAUUAGGAGAUAAACAAUAUAACUUGGGAGCUAUUGUUGCACGAAGGUUGCAUCAUAACAGUAUUAGCGGAGAUUUGUUUGGUGGAAUUUAUGCAACCCGUUUAGCUAAUUUUCUUGAGGUACCCAUUCAUGAAAAUGAUAUGGAGUUGCCUCUUGCUUAUCUACAUUGUAAUGCUAUGGUUCGUCAUCAGUUUGUUGAGAGGAAUGACCAAUUCCUCCAAUACCGACUAAUCUUUGACAGACGUCGCACUGUCCACAUUGUUCUCCCUGCUCCUGCUUUCUUUGACUUUCAGGCAAAAGGGAGAUAUGUUAUAACCAGGGAGGAGGCGAACGAGUAUGAGAGUAGGACGGAGGCAGCUCGCCUCCAAGCUGUAGCACAUCAGGAAAUAGCCCCUGCACCUCAGUACGACCCCAGUUACAACUUCGGAUAUCCGCCAGGCCAGUCGUGGCCAUAGACCAACUUAGGCCAAAAGCCUAAGCUUGGGGGAGUACGUAUUUCUCACCAACAAUACAUUCAUGUUCACACAUUCAUUCUAGUUGUCGGUGCUCAUACUUUUUCAUUGUACUAUCCAUGCUAGUUUAUUUUCCUUUUUCCUGCUUUCUUCUUGUGUGUUUGAAAAACCUUAAGGAAAAAAAAAUUAGUUGUGGCUUUUAGCUAGUUUAAUUUUCAUGCUUGUAGUAGUAAUUAAAAGAAAACCCAAAAAGAUUUCUCGUUCUUCUUUUGCUUGUUGGGAGCUUUCCCGUGUAAAUAGUUUUAUUUCUUUUCCUUUCUUUGGGGGUCGAGAGGAGAAGACCAAGAUGAAAAUGUUGAAGUGGCUCUUAUAUGCAUUAUUGUUGAUUUAACCAGGAGCCCAUAUUACCUUGUCUUCUCCCUUGAAUUAAAUGCUUGCAGAUUCCAGCUUAGUCCAAUGCACGUGCACUAUUAUUAUUAUUAUCCACACCGUUCGGUAGUGUGGACUGAUUGAGAUAAGGGAAGUUGGUAUGAACUCGACCUCUCUUGUUUUUGUAAAUAUGAUUAGUUCAUCGUUCCUGAUUCAGCCUAUUAUGAAUGAACAUGUUUGCAAUGACAAUUAGAGAUUAUAGUUGCUUAUGCCAUGCUUAAUUAGCUAGGAGUUUAUAAUGCUUUAAUUUGCGUGCCAACAUGCUGUUAAAAUGGUUGUGAUGUGGUAUGAUAGGGUGGUAUCCUCCUUUGAAUGAUUCGAGUGGCUUGACUUGGCACAUGUUCACACAUGUAGUUGAAACAAAUAAACAUGAACAUUCAUGCCACAAUAAAGAAAAUUACAUUGAUAAUUAUGUUAGGUAGCAUUCCACAUCAAAAAUUUUGUUUUUAUCAUUUACCUACUCGAGGACGAGCAGGAAUUAAGCUUGGGGAUGCUUGAUACGUCUCCAACGUAUCUAUAAUUUUUUAUUGUUCCAUGCUAUUAUAUUAUCUGUUUUGGAUAUUUAAUGGGCUUUAAUAUGAUCUUUUAUAUUAUUUUUGGGACUAACCUAUUAACCAAAGGCCCAGUGCCAGUUUCCUUUUUUUUGCCUAUUUCAGUGUUUUGCAGAAAAGAAAUACCAAACGGAAUCAAACCUUCGCGAUGAUCUUUCUGGGAACAAACGCAAUCCAGAAGACUUGGAGUUGAAGUCUGGAACGCCGCGAGGCAGCCAUGAGGAAGGAGGGCGCGCCCAGGGGGUAGGCACGCCCCCACCCUCGUGGGCCCCACGAAGCUCCACCGACGUACUUCUUUCGCCUAUAUAUACUCUUAUACCCUAAAAACAUCAGGGGGAGACACCAAACCACUUUUCUACCGCCGCAACCUUCUGUACCCGUGAGAUCCCAUCUUGGGUCCUUUUCCGGUGAUCUGCCGGAGGGGGAAUCGAUCACGGAGGGCUUCUACAUCAACACCAUUGCCUCUCCGAUGAAGCGUGAGUAGUUUACCACAGACCUUCGGGUCCAUAGUUAUUAGCCAGAUGGCUUCUUCUCUCUCUUUGAUUCUCAAUACAAAGUUCUCCUCGAUGUUCUUGGAGAUCUAUUAGAUGUAAUACUCUUUUGCGGUGUGUUUGCCGAGAUCCGAUGAAUUGUGGAUUUAUGAUUACGUUUAUCUAUGAAUAAUAUUUGGUUCUUCUCUGAAUUCUUAUAUGCAUGAUUUGAUAUCGUUGCAAGUCUCUUCGAAUUAUUGGUUUAGUUUGGCCUACCAGAUUGAUCUUUCUUGCAAUGGGAGAAGUGCUUAGCUUUGCGUUCAAUCUUGCGGUGUCCUUUCCCAGUGACAGUAGGGGCAGCAAGGCACGUAUUGUAUUGUUGCCAUCGAGGAUAAAAAGAUGGGGUUUAUAUCAUAUUACUUGAGUUUAUCACUCUACAUCAUGUCAUCUUGCUUAAUGUGUUACUCUGUUCUUAUGAACUUAAUACUCUAGAUGCAUGCUGGAUAGCGGUCGAUGUGUGGAGUAAUAGUAGUAGAUGCAGAAUCGUUUCGAUCUACUUGACACGGAUGUGAUGCCUAUAUUCAUGAUCAUUGCCUAGAUGUCGGGGUAUUCUCACGGGGGGCUUGCGAGUCGACAGAUGCCACAAGGGCUUAGUGUGAGGGUAAGACUGCUGCUGAUAGGCCCGGGAGCGGGUAUGCGAGUAGCACGCGCUAGUUUACCCAGGUUCGGGGCUCUCCGGAGAGAUAAUACCCCUACUCCUGCAUGUCUGAAUAUCUGUGGUAUAUCUGGUACAGAGUGCUCCUAGAGCUGUAUCUGAGAUCAGUGCCAAGUGCAUCUGAUCUGGUAUCUGUGUAAAUAUGUGUGCACAAGAGUGUGUGGCAUGGUGCACUUGGCACUAGUGGCCGUGGGUGGAGCUUGUGGCCGUAUGGGUGUGUGUCCAUACGUGAGCAUGUAUGCAUGUGUGUGUGAGUCCAUCCCCCAUGGAUGGAUGGAUGUGUGCCUUUAUAUAGGCAUGGGGGUAGUGGCUUUGGCUGUAAGCUACCAUGGGUAGCUUACAAACCAAGCUAUGUAGGCAUGGUGCAUGUCAUGCUUGUUCCCUGGGCCCUUUAUAGAAUAGUGCCAAGGGGACAGGUACACUGUAGAUGAUGGCGUCGUGGUACAGCCGUCUCGUCCGCGGUAUGGCCGUCACGUCGGUGUCUUGUCGGUGUCGGGUCGGGCUGAAGUGGGCAGCCGGCUGGUUCGCGCAGUCGGCAGCCGGCUGUGUUGAGCAGUCGGACGGGGAGCCGGCAGGAGCGGCCGGGCAGUCGGACUGAGGGGCUUUGCUAGCCCCGAUGUCUUGAAUUAUUGUCUCGCCGUCUUCGGGGUACCCUUGGUCAAUUACUCCGUCAGUAGCCUCCAAGCCUCUGGGCAGCUUGGCAAAGUUGGGCGGAGGUUUUUUGGCGGGUGUUGAUGUAGAAAAUGACGAUGACAGCCGGCUUCGGGCGGGGGCGCGCCAGCGCACUUGCUGGGUGUAGCCUCCGAGCCUCCGGGCAACUUGGAAAAGAUGGGCGGAGGCUUUUCGCGUUUGUUGGUGCAGACGAUGGCGUCGAGGGUGCCGGGCGCGGACACGAAAUCCGCUGGCCGGUGCUGUCGGGCGCGGAUGCGGGGUCCGCCGACUGAUGGUGUCGGGCGCGGUCGCGAGGUCCGCCGACUGGUGCUGUUGCUGACAGCCGGCUGCAGGCUGCAGCCGGCGCGGUUUGCUUCCAGUGGGGGCGCGCCAGCUUACCCACUGGGCGUAGCCUCCGAGCCUCCGAGUGAGGAGGCGGGUUUCCCACGGAAAUGCUCAUGCAAAAAACAAAGUUAGUCCGCGCAGAUAUAUCAAAUGUUUGCUUUUAGCAUUGAAAAUUUUAUGCGGAGGGUGCCGACUCGGUUUCGUCCGAGCCCCCUUCAAUCUUUUUCAUGUUCCCUCCACUCUUUGGCUUGUGCUCUCGCUUGCCGGACAGCCGCUCUGCGGUCUGUGGCUGAGAGUGGGCCACGGAGUGGAGUGUACAGUACUCAGACUCUGGAAGCAGAUUUGAUCGAGCAGAUACUCGUAAAAGAAACGACCGGGUCGCCCGAACCAUUUUUUCUUCCCGGACGUUUUUCGCGUGGGUGGCCUCCAGCGUUCACUCUUGCUAGCCGGACAGCCGCUCCGCGGUCUGUGACUAAGAGUGGGCCUUUGGUACCGCGCACGCUACUAAGCCGUCUGCGGGAACUAACGUCUCAGGCCAAGCGGCCAGCCUCCGGGCCAACUCUGGCUGGCGCCAGGGCGAACAGUGGCGCAACUGUAAUAAAAACGGAGGUGCUCCCCGAGCGUCGCUCGGGGUUAUCCGUGUUUGCGUGGUGCAAAAAUAAGCGGGUGAGGAGCUUACAUUGCUUUUUGGCGCAGACGAGGCGGAGGUUGAUCUCCGGCAGGUGGUCCGAGCCUCCGGGUGCUCGAGGGACGCCACAGUCGAUCAGGCCCGACUGCCAGGUGGCGGGGCCCGACUGGAGCCUCCAGUUGGCAAGGCGUCGAAGCGAACAGCCGGUCAGCCGACUGAGUGACGACGCGGGGAGUCGUCCAGAGCAGCCGGCUGGACUGCUGGCCAUGCAGCCGGCCACGCAGCGGAUGUGCAGCCGGCCACGCACACGCGGCCGUGCUCCUGGACGUGCAACCCGCCAUGCAUGCCCGUAUACAAGUUUUGCUUUCUCUUUUUUUUUCUUUUUUUCUAACACCCGGCUGUGUGCAGUCGGACACACUCCAGCCGACCUCUUCUUUUCUUCUCUCUAUUCUUUUUAUGCUCUGCCUGACGAGCCGGUAGGAGCGGGACGCGGCGGAAGCGAACGGCCGGGUCGCGCCAAAAGUCGGCGUCCGGGUUGCGGGGGAGCCGGCAGGCUGGGUCGUCGGGGAAGCCGGCAGGCCNNNNNNNNNNNNNNNNNNNNNNNNNNNNNNNNNNNNNNNNNNNNNNNNNNNNNNNNNNNNNNNNNNNNNNNNNNNNNNNNNNNNNNNNNNNNNNNNNNNNNNNNNNNNNNNNNNNNNNNNNNNNNNNNNNNNNNNNNNNNNNNNNNNNNNNNNNNNNNNNNNNNNNNNNNNNNNNNNNNNNNNNNNNNNNNNNNNNNNNNNNNNNNNNNNNNNNNNNNNNNNNNNNNNNNNNNNNNNNNNNNNNNNNNNNNNNNNNNNNNNNNNNNNNNNNNNNNNNNNNNNNNNNNNNNNNNNNNNNNNNNNNNNNNNNNNNNNNNNNNNNNNNNNNNNNNNNNNNNNNNNNNNNNNNNNNNNNNNNNNNNNNNNNNNNNNNNNNNNNNNNNNNNNNNNNNNNNNNNNNNNNNNNNNNNNNNNNNNNNNNNNNNNNNNNNNNNNNNNNNNNNNNNNNNNNNNNNNNNNNNNNNNNNNNNNNNNNNNNNNNNNNNNNNNNNNNNNNNNNNNNNNNNNNNNNNNNNNNNNNNNNNNNNNNNNNNNNNNNNNNNNNNNNNNNNNNNNNNNNNNNNNNNNNNNNNNNNNNNNNNNNNNNNNNNNNNNNNNNNNNNNNNNCCGGGCGAGACCGGCGGGCGCGGGGCGUCCAGCCGUGGGCAGAGGAGACGCGGGGGGUCGAUGCAGCGCGCGGGGGCCGGCGACGGGGAGCCUCGGGCACGGGGUAGUGGACGGACGGGCACAACCUCGAAGGAGUCGACGACGGGGCCGUUGGUGGAGAGCGAGUGGAAGCAGGCAUAGGGGGCCUCUGGUGGCCGCGACUGCAGCGGAGCAGCGACAGCAGGGAGCCAUGGCUGGGUGGCGUGGGAGCGAGUUGCCGCGGUGGCGGGGCGCGUCUGUGGAAACGUUGCUGGGGCGAGGCGGAGCUCGGGCUUCAGCGUCGAUGUGCGAGGGCCAGCAGAAAGCAGCGGUAGCAGGGAGCUCUUCUACGAGCAGAGGCGGCACGGCUGAGAGGUCAUGCACUGCUGCUCCUUGCGACUUAGCAUGGGGAGGAGGCCCACGGAGAUGCAACAGAAGAUAGGCACGACAGUGAGCGCCGCAGCUGGCCGGAACGAGCCAGUGCACGGGCAGUAUUCGGGCAGCGUCCGAAUCAUAUCUGGGAAGUUUAUAGGGAAUUAUCUGGCUGUUGUAUGGGCAAUAUCCGACUUGUGUCUGACUAAUGUCUGGGUAGUGUAUGGGGCAUAUCUGGUUUCCUUCUGGGAAGUGUAUGACCAAGGUUUUGGCGAUGCAUGGCCAUUGUACAGGAAGCAUCUAACCAUUAUCUGGCCAUUGCCUCGGAGGAGCAAACGGAGGAGCAAGGGAGGCGCAGCAUAGAGGAGAGCGGACGCGAGCGGCAUGCGGAUGGAUGCGGCCGACCGAAGCGAGGCGGCGCGGCGCGCACGGGCGGACGGCCGGCGUCGCAGUGGUGGUGACGAAGAGGCCGAGGACCGAUGGCGAGGACGUGCCGCCCCUCGCGGCCAUUCCGGGGGCAUAUGCCGAUGUCGAGCCCCCGACCGCUAUCGGAGAGACGGCGCGACGCCGCAGCGGUGAAGACGAAAAUGGUCCCGCCUGGACUGCGAAACCAGCAGCAGCGUGGUAGCAUAGUAGUAGUACCACACCACGGUGGGCGCCAACUGUUGGGGUAUUCUCACGGGGGGCUUGCGAGUCGACAGAUGCCACAAGGGCUUAGUGUGAGGGUAAGACUGCUGCUGAUAGGCCCGAGAGCGGGUAUGCGAGUAGCACGCGCUAGUUUACCCAGGUUCGGGCUCUCCGGAGAGAUAAUACCCCUACUCCUGCAUGUUUGAAUAUCUGUGGUAUAUCUGGUACAGAGUGCUCCUAGAGCUGUAUCUGAGAUCAGUGCCAAGUGCAUCUGAUCUGGUAUCUGUGUAAAUAUGUGUGCACAAGAGUGUGUGGCGUGGUGCACUUGGCACUAGUGGCCGUGGGUGGAGCUUGUGGCCGUAUGGGUGUGUGUCCAUACGUGAGCAUGUAUGCAUGUGUGUGUGAGUCCAUCCCCCAUGGAUGGAUGGAUGUGUGCCUUUAUAUAGGCAUGGGGGUAGUGGCUUUGGUUGUAAGCUACCAUGGGUAGCUUACAAGCCAAGCUAUGUAGGCAUGGUGCAUGUCAUGCUUGUUCCCUGGGCACUUUAUAGAAUAGUGUCAAGGGGACAGGUACACUGUAGAUGAUGGCGUCGCGGUACAGCCGUCUCGUCCGCGGUAUGGCCAUCACGUCGGUGUCUUGUCGGUGUCGGGCCGGGCUGCAGUGGGCAGCCGGCUGGUUCGCGCAGUUGGCAGCCGGCUGUGUUGAGCAGUCGGACGGGGAGCCGGCAGGAGCGGCCGGGCAGUCGGACUGACUGGCUUUGCUAGCCCUGAUGUCUUGAAUUAUUGUCUCGCCGUCUUCGGGGUACCCGUGGUCAAUUACUCCAUCACUUGAUAUUCUCAUAAUUAUGCGCUUUUCUAUCAAUUGCUCGGCAGUAAUUUGUUCACCCACCGUAAUACAUGCUAUCUAGACAGAAGCCACUAGUGAAACCUAUGGCCCCCGGGUCUAUUUUCCAUCAUAUAAUCUUCUAUUUUACAUCAUGUUAGUUUCCUGUCAACUUUCAAAUUUCUGUUGCCGUUCUUUUAUUUUGCAAUCUUUACUUUCCAAUCUAUACAACAAAAAUACCAAAAAUAUUUAUUUUAUUAUCUUUAUUAGAUCUCACUUUUGCGAGUGACCGUGAAGGGAUUGACAACCCCUUUAUCGCGUUGGUUGCAAGGUUCUUGAUUGUUUGUGCAGGUACUAGGUGACUUGCGUGUUAUCUCCUACUGGAUUGAUACCUUGGUUGUCAAAAACUGAGGGAAAUACUUACGCUACUUUGCUGCAUCACCCUUUCCUCUUCAAGGGAAAACCAACGCAUGCUCAAGAGGUAGCACUCCCCUUGUGUCGAAUCUAUAAAUUUGGGUUGAAUACUCUACCCUUGAAAACUGUUGCGAUCCCCUAUACUAGUGGGUUAUCAAGACCUUUUUCUGGCGCCGUUGCCGGGGAGCAUAUCUAUAUUUGCUAAGUCACUUGGGAUUAUUAUCAAUUUAUCAUUAUGAAGAAUCUGAAGGAUACCAAGACUAAUAUUUUUCCCUCUAAGACGAGGGGAGGUAAGGAACUGCCAUCUAGCUCUGCACUUGAUUCACCUUCUAUUAUGAGUAAACUUGCGACACCACCACAUGCUAUUAAUCCUGAUAUGUUGCAAGUUAUUGAUGAUGGUACUUCUAUGAAUGCUACUCAUGAUGGUGCUAGUACCUUGCUUGACGAUGGUGUGCCACUAGGUGAUUUUGUUGAUGAACAAAUUGCUAGAGUUAGAGAGAGUGAAAUUACCGAAACUAAUGAGAUUACUGAAACUGAUGAAGUACUUGAAACUGAAAAUCUUGAAACACCUUUUAGACCUAGCUCUCCUAGAUAUGAAUUGCCUAAGGUACGUGAAGGUUAUGUUAUGGAUGAGGAGACAGCUAGAGACUUUUUUGCUUCCAAUGAUAGAGAUGAUCUUAAGAAAUUAUUAUGCAAACUGAAAGAAAAAUCUUUGAAUGCUAGAAUGAAAUGUGAUCCUUAGUUUGCUACUUCUCCUAUCUUUGUUGAUGAUAAGGAUUAUGAAUUCUCUAUUGACCCAGAGUUAAUUACUUUUUUGAAUCUGAUCCUUUCCAUGGUUAUGAAACUGAAACUGUUGUGGCACACCUUACUAAGUUGAAUGACAUAGCCACCCUUUUUUCUCAUGAUGAGAAAAUUUGCUAUUAUUAUAUCCUCAAGUUAUUUCCGUUCUCAUUAAAGGGUGAUGCUAAGACUUGGUACAAUACUCUUGCUCCUGGUUGUGUGCGUAUUCCCCAGGAUAUGAUUUAUUACUUCACUGAAAAAUAUUUUCCUGCCCAUAAGAAACAAGCAGCCUUACAGGAAAUAUUUAACUUUGUGCAAAUUGAAGAACAGAGUCUCCCACAAGCUUGGGGGAGGCUUCUCCAAUUGCUAAAUGCUUUGCCUGAUCAUCCUCUCAAAAAAAUGUAAUACUUGAUAUCUUCUAUAAUGGACUAACCGAUGCUUCUAGGGACUUCCUAGAUAGUUGCGCUGGUUGUGUUUUCAGGGAAAGAACUGUUGAGCAAGCUGAGGAAUUAUUGAAUAACAGAUUGAAAAAUUGUGAUGAUUGGACUCUUCCCGAACCACCGCCUAAACCCACUCUGAAGAAGAGGGGUAUCUUAUAUCUCAGUCCUGAAGAUAUGCAGGAGGCAAAGAAAUGUAUGAAGGAAAAAGGUAUUAAAGCCGAGGAUGUGAAAAAAUUACCUCCUAUCGCAUCACCACCAUCAUGAGUGGUAGGGGUAAAUUCUUAUUGAAGUUUGAUGAAGGUGAUAUUCCUUAUAAUAAACAUCCUAGUCAAUGCCUUUAUGAGUUUGACAACUAUAUUAGAAAACAAGAUCACUUCAAUGCCAAUGUUAUGAAACAAUUGAAAUAUAAUUCUGAUAUGAUUGCUCGCUUGAGUGACUUGUUAUUUAGAAUCUCCAAUGAUGUUAGAGGUGUAGGAAAACAUGCCUCUAUGGUUCAAACUCAAUUAGAACAAGUUGCUAAAUCUCAAAGAGAAUUGCUUGAUGAAAUGAAUAGUAACAUACAUGAUAAUUUUCAUGAAGAUACUCAACCAGACAAUGAUAAACAACCAGAUAACAAUGUUGAGAUAAAACCAGCUGUUGAUCUUGAUAACCCACAAUCUAAAAAUAAAAUAUAUGACAAAAAAGACUUUGUUGGUAGAAAACAUGGAAGAGAAAGAGAACCAUGUCCAAAAACCCAUGCCCUUUCCACCUAAAUCCACUAAGAAAAAGGAUGAUGAAGAAUUUGAACGCUUUGCUAAAAUGCGUAGGCCAGUCUUUUUGCACACUCGUUUGACUGGUAUUUUAAUGAUGGCCCCUUAUGCGAAAUACAUGAAAGACAUCAUCUCUAAUAAAAGAAAAAUACCGGAAGCUGAAAUCUCCACUAUGCUUGAUAAUUAUUCUUUUAAGGAUGGAGUACCUAAAAACUUGGAGAUUCGGGAAUACCAACUAUACCUUGCUACAUUAAAAGAAAUUAUGUUAAAACUGCUUCGUGUGAUUUCGGAGCUGGUGUUAGUGUCAUGCCUUUCUCCUCAUAUAAAUGACUUGAUUUGAAUAAACUCACACCUACUGAAAUAUCUUUGCAAAUGGCUGACAAAUCAACUGCCAUACCUAUCGGUAUUUGUGAGGAUGUGCCUGUUGUUGUUGCAAAUGUUACUAUCUUGACUGACUUUGUUAUACUUGAGAUGCCCGAGGAUGACAACAUGUCGAUUAUCCUUGGUAGACCCUUCUUGAAUACUGCAGGGGCUGUUAUCGAUUGCAAUAAAAGCAAGGUCACUUUUCAUAUCAAUGGUAAUGAGCAUACGGUGCACUUUCCGAAGAAACAAUUCCAAGUGAAUGGUAUUAGUGCUAUUCAAAAAUCUCCGACACGCACUAUUGGAAGUUUUCAACUACCUCUACUACUGCCAAAAAGAAACAUGAAAUGCUUAUUGUUGGGGACAUACAUAUCCCCGUUGAGGUAACUUAGUGUUUUUACGCAAGUUCUUCAAUUUCAUGCUAAUCGAAGAUGGUUGUUAAUAAUACUUGAUCAACCUUAUUAAUGGAUCGUUUUUGAAAGGUAUAAAGUUGAUGAACCUAGUAGGCACAACCUUCUAUUUCCCACUCUUGUUUUCUGUUUUUCUUAGUUAAAUAAAAUAAAAUGCCAUGUUUUGUCUGCUUUCUGAAUUUUCCGUGAAAUAAAAAAUGAGCCAAAAAUAGAAGUUCUCAGAAUGCCACGAAAAUAUAAUACAAUUUUUUUCUGAAUAUUUCUGAAUUUUUAGUGCAAAUAACACCAGAGCGGGGUGCUCUAGGUGGGUGAUACGUCUCCAACGUAUCUAUAAUUUUUGAUUGUUCCAUGCUAUUAUAUUAUCCAUCUAGGAUGUUUCAUAUGCAUUUAUAUGCUAUUUUAUAUGAUUUUGGGACUAACCUAUUAACCUAGAGCCUAGUGCCAGUUUAUGUUUUUUCCUAGUUUUUGAGUAUUGCAGAAAAGGAAAACCAAACGGAGUCCAAUUGACCUGAAAUUUCACGGAGAUUAUUUUUGGACCAGAAGAAGCCCACGGAGUAUCGGAGAUGGACCAGAAGAGUCCCGAGGCACCCACGAGGGUGGGAGGCGCGCCCUACCCCCCUGGGGGCGCCCCCCUACCUCGUGGCCGCCUCGGAGACCCCCCUGACUUGUUCCCGAUGCCAACACCUCUUAUAUAUACCCAAACUUCCAGAACAUAACCUAGAUCGGGAGUUCCGCCGCCGCAAGCCUCGGUAGCCACCAAAAACCAAUCGGGACCCUAUUCCGGCACCCUGCCGGAGGGGGGAUCCAUCACCGGUGGCCAUCUUCAUCAUCCCGGCGCUCUCCAUGACGAGGAGGGAGUAGUACACCCUCGGGGCUGAGGGUAUCUACUAGAAUCUAUGUGUUUGAUCUCUCUCUCUCUCUCUCGUGUUCUUGAUAUGGCACGAUCUUGAUGUAUCGCUAGCUUUGCUAUUAUAGUUGGAUCUUAUGAUGUUUCUCCCCCUUAUCUUCUUGUAAUGGAUUGAGUUUUCCCUUUGAAGUUAUCUUAUCGGAUUGAGUCUUUAAGCAUUUGAGAACACUUUAUGUAUGUCUUGCAUGUGCUUAUCUGUGGUGACAAUGGGAUAUUCACGUGAUCUACUUGAUGUAUGUUUUGGUGAUCAACUUGCGGGUUCAGUGACCUUGUGAACUUAUGCAUAGGGGUUGGCACACGUUUUCGUCUUGACUCUCCGGUAGAAACUUUGGGGCACUCUUUGAAGUUCUAUGUGUUGGUUGAAUAGAUGAAUCUGAGAUUGUGUGAUGCAUAUCGUAUAAUUAUACCCACGGAUACUUGAGGUGACAUUGGAGUAUCUGGUGACAUUAGGGUUUUGGUUGAUUUGUGUCUUAAGGUGUUAUUCUAGUACGAAAUCUAGGAUAGAUCAAACAGAAAGAAUAGCUUCGUGUUAUUAUACUACGGACUCUUGAAUAGAUCGAUCAGAAAGGAUAACUUUGAGGUGGUUUCGUACCCUACAAUAAUCUCUUUGUUUGUUCUCCGCUAUUAGUUACUUUGGAGUGACUCUUUGUUGCAUGUUGAGGGAUAGUUAUAUGAUCCAGUUAUGUUAUUAUUGUUGAGAGAACUAGCACUAGUGAAAGUAUGAACCCUAGGCCUUGUUUCCUAGCAUUGCAAUACCAUUUAUGCUCCCUUUUACCACUUUCUACCUUGCUGUUUUUAUAUUUUCAUAUUACAAAAACCUAUAUCUACCAUCCAUAUUGCACUUGUAUCACCAUCUCUUCGCCGAACUAGUGCACCUAUACAAUUUACCAUUGUAUUUGGUGUGUUGGGGACACAAGAGACUCUUUGUUAUUUGAUUGCAGGUUUGCUUGAGAGAGACCAUCUUCAUCCUAUGCCUUCGACGGAUUGAUAAACCUUAGGUCAUCCACUUGAGGGAAAUUUGCUACUGUCCUACAAACCUCUGCACUUGGAGGCCCAACAACGUCUACAAGAAGAAGGUUGUGUAGUAGACAUCAAGCUCUUUUCUGGCGCCAUUGCCGGGGAGGUUAGUGCUUGAAGGUAUAUCUUUAGAUCUUGCAAUCGAAUCUUUUAGUUUCUUGUUUUAUCACUAGUUUAGUCUAUACAAGAAAACUACAAAAAAUGGAAUUAAGGGUGCCCCAUAUGCUUCAUCUUUUUAAUAUCUUUGGUGAAAAUGAUGGGAAGGAAAUUUGUGCUCAAGUACUAGAAGAAGAAUUACAUAGAAUGCUUGGCACUAAAUCUUCGAAUGACGAGCAUGAUUGCAAUGUUGUUAGUAUGAAUUCUUUUAAUACCCAUGAUGCUAAUGAUAUGCAAAGCUACAAGCUUGGGGAUGCUAUGUUUGAUGAAGAUGAUAUUUUUUGUCCCCCAAGUUUAUUAUGAUGAAAGCAUGCCUCCUAUUUAUGAUGAUUAUUGCGAUGACACAUAUGCUAUAAAGAAUAAAGAUAACCAUGAAACUUGUCAUCAUGAUUUUAAUUUUCAAUUGGAUUAUGCUUCACAUCAUAGUUAUUUUGUUGAGUUUUCUCCCACUACUAUUCAUGAGAACAAAUUUGCUUUUGUGGAGAGUAAUAAAAUUUCUAUGCUUGUAGAUCAUGAAAAGAAUGCUUUAUGUGAUGGUUAUAUUGUUGAAUUCAUUCAUGAUGCUACUGAAAAUUAUUAUGAGGGAGGAACAUAUGCUUGUAGGAAUUGCAAUAAUAUCAAGUUUCCUCUCUAUGUGUUGAAAAUCUUGAAGCUAUGCUUGUUUUACCUUCCUAUGCUAGUUGAUUCUUGUUCCCAUAAGUUGUUUGCUCACAAAAUCCCUAUGCAUAGGAAGUGGUUUAGGCUUAAAUGUGCUAGUCAUAUGCUUCAUGAUGCUCCCGUUAUUUUUCAAUUCUUAUCUUUUAUGUGAGCAUCAUUGUCAUCAUCAUGCCUAGCUAAAAAGGCAAUAAAGAAAAGCGCUUGUUGGGAGACAACCCAAUAUUUACCUUUACUGUUUUUGCGUGUUCACAUGAUUAUGCUACUGUAGUAAUCAUGUUUUAUAGCUUUUGUUUCAAUAAAGUGCCAAGUAAGACCUUUAGGAUAGCUUACGGUGAUAGUUAAUUUGAUCUUGCUGAAAAACAGAAACUUUUGCGCGCACGAGAUUAGUUUUCAUAAAUCACAGGAUCGUGCUUUUCAGUUGAUUCUUUUUGCAGAAGAUUAAUAAACAAAUUGCUUAGGACUUCCUAAUUUCUCAGGAUUUUUGGAGUUACAUAAGUAUUCGAAUGAUACAGAUUACUACAGACUGUUCUGUUUUUGACAGAUUCUGUUUUAUUAUGUUGUUUGCUUAUUUUGAUGAAUCUAUGAGUAGUAUCGGAGGGUAUGAACCAUAGAGAAGUUUUAAUACAGUAGAUAUUACACCAAUAUGAAUUUAGAAUGAGUUCACAACAGUACCAAAAGUGGCGAUUUAUUUUCUUAUACUAACAGAGCUCAUAAGAUUUUCUGUUGAGUUUUGUGUUGUGAAGUUUUCAUGUUUUGGGUAAAGAUUCGAUGGACUAUGGAAUAAGGAGUGGCAAGAGCCUAAGCUUGGGGAUUCCCAAGGCACCCCAAGGUAAUAUUCAAGGAAAACCAAGAGCCUAAGCUUGGGGAUGCCCCGGAUGGCAUCCCCUCUUUCGUCUUCGUUCAUCGGUAACUUUACUUGGAGCUAUAUUUUUAUUCACCACAUGGUAUGCGUUUUGCUUGGAGAGUCAUUUUAUUUUGUUAGUAUUUGCUUACUGUUAUUUAGAAUAAUGUUUUGCAUCUUUAUUUUCAAUAAAAGUGUCAAGGAUAGCCCUUACAAUGCUUAUUUUGCGAGUAUACAUGUUGCUGUUUAAAAACAGAAAGUUUGUCGUUGUUGCAAAAAUUCCCUAGAAAAGUCAGAAUAUGAUAAAAUGUUGAAACUUUUUGCAUAAUAAGCUCUGAUAAAUUUUCUACAGUGUCGUAGAAUUUCAUAAUGUUUGGAGUUAGGGAAGUAUUGAUACUCUUGCAUUCUUUACAUACUGUACUGUUUUGGCAGAUUGCUGUUAUGUUUGCAUUGUUUGCAUAUGUUUGCUUGUUUAAUGAUUCUAUUUGAGGAUAGGAGUAUUAAAUAUGCAGAGACAUUUAGUAUGCAAUGUUUAAUAAUAAUUUUUGUGAUUUUCUACAGUAGAGAAUGAUAAGGUUUUUGCAUUGAUUUAUACUAACUUAUCUCACGAGUUCUUGUUGAGUUUUGUGUGGAUGAAGUUUUUUGAGAUUUAGGGAAACCGUGAUAUGAGAGGAAUUAAGGAGGCACAAAAUCUCAAGCUUGGGGAUGCCCAAGGCACCCCAAGAUAAUAUUUCAAGAAGUCUCAAGCAUCUAAGCUUGGGGAUGCCCCGGUUGGCAUCCCACCUUUCUUCUUCAACAAUUAUCGGUUAGUAUCGGUUGAUCCUAAGUUUUUGCUUCUUCACAUGAGUUGUCCUAUCCUUGCAAUGUCAUUUUAUUUUGUUUUGCUUGCUGUUUGAAUAAAAUACGAAGAUCUGAAAUUCUUAAUUGUUAGAGAGUCUUCACAUAGUUGCAUAAUUAUUCGACUACUCAUUGAUCUUCACUUAUAUCUUUCGGAGUAGUUUGUCAUUUGCUCUAGUGCUUCACUUAUAUCUUUUUAGAGCACGGCGGUGGUUUUAUUUUGAAGAAAUAGAUGAACUCUCAUGCUUCACUUAUAUUAUUUUGAGAAUCUUUUAGAACAACAUGGUAAUUUGCUUUGGUUAUGAAUUUAGUCCUAAUAUGAUAGCCAUCCAAGAGGGAUAUAAUAAAAACUUUCAUAUAAAGUGCAUUGAAUACUAUGAGAAGUUUGAUGCUUGAUGAUCGUUUUGAGAUAUGAGGAUGGUGAUAUUAGAGUCAUGCUAGUAGAGUAGUUGUGAAUUUGAGAAAUACCUGUGUUGAGGUUUGCAAGUCCCGUAGCAUGCACAUAUGGUAACCGUUGUGUGACAAAUUUGAAGCAUGAGGUAUUUCUUUGAUUCUCAUCCUUUGUGUGGAGGUCGGGAUCGCGCGAUGGUUAACUCCUAGCAACCCUUCCCCUAGGGGCAUGCAUGUAGUACUUUGUUUUGAUGACUUGUAUAUUUUUGCAAUAAGUAUGUGAGUUCAUUAUGACUAAUGUUGAGUCCAUGGAUUAUACGCACUCUCACCCUUCCAUCAUUGCUAGCCUCUUCGGUGUCGUGCAUUGCCCUUUCUCACCUUGAGAGUUGGUGCAAACUUCGCCGGUGCAUCCAAACCCCGUGAUAUGAUACGCUCUAUCACACAUAAACCUCGUUAUAUCUUCCUCAAAACAGCCACCAUACCUACCUAUUAUGGCAUUUCCAUAGCCAUUCCGAGAUAUAUUGCCAUGCAACUUUCCACCAUUUCAUUUAUUAUGACACGCUUCAUCAUUGUCAUAUUUCCUUGCAUGAUCAUGUAGUUGACAUCGUAUUUGUGGCAAGGCCACCAUGCAUAAUUCAUACAUGUCACUCUUGAUUCAUUGCCCAUCCCGGUACACCGCCGGAGGCACUCAUAUAGAAUCAUAUUUUGUUCUAGUAUCGAGUUGUAAAUAAAUAGAAGUGUGAUGAUCAUCAUUAAUAGAGCAUUGUCCCAAAUAAACAAAAAAAAUAAAGGCCAAAGAAAAAAAGAAAGGCCCCAAAAAAGGGGCAAUGCUACUAUCCUUUUUUUCCACACUUGUGCUUCAAAGUAGUACCAUGUUCUUUAUGAUAGAGAGUCUCUUGUUUUGUCACUUUCAUAUACUAGUGGGAAUUUUUCAUUAUAGAACUUGGCUUGUAUAUUCCAAUAAUGGGCUUCCUCAAAUGCCCUAGGUCUUCGUGAGCAAGCAAGUUGGAUGCUUGCCCACUUAGAGUCUUUUGUUGAGCUUUCGUACAUUUAUAGCUCUAGUGCAUCCGUUGCAUGACAAUCCCUACUCCUUGCAUUGACAUCAAUUGAUGGGCAUCUCCCUAGCCCGUUGAUUAGCCGCGUCAAUGUGAGACUUUCUCCUUUUUUGUCUUCUCCACAACCACCAUUCUAUUCCACCCAUAGUGCUUUGUCCAUGGCUCAUGCUCAUGUAUUGCGUGAAAGUUGAAAAAGUUUGAAAAUACUAAAGUAUGAAACAAUUGCUUGGCUGAAACCGGGGUUGUGCAUGAUUUGAGUAUUUUGUGUGACGAAGAUGGAGCAUAGCCAAACUAUAUGAUUUUGUAGGGAUGAACUUUCUUUGGCCAUGUUAUUUUGAGAAGACAUAAUUGCUUUGUUAGUAUGCUUGAAGUAUUAUUAUUUUUAUGUCAAUAUUAAACUUUUGUCUUGAAUCUUAUGGAUCUGAAUAUUCUUGCCACAAUAAAGAAGAUUACAUUGAUAAAUAUGUUAGGUAGCAUUCCACAUCAAAAAUUCUAUUUUUAUCAUUUACCUACUCGAGGACGAGCAGGAAUUAAGCUUGGGGAUGCUUGAUACGUCUCCAACGUAUCUAUAAUUUUUGAUUAUUCCAUGCUAUUAUAUUAUCCAUGUAGGAUGUUUUAUAUGCAUUUAAAUGCUAUUUUAUAUGAUUUUGGGACUAAGCUAUUAACCUAGAGCCCAGUGCUAGUUUUUGUUUUUUCCUUGUUUUUGAGUAUCGCAGAAAAGGAAAACCAAACGGAGUUCAAUUAACCUGAAAUUUCAUGGAGAUUAUUUUUGGACCAGAAGAAGCCCACGGAGUAUCAGAGAUGGACCAGAAGAGUCCCAAGGCACCCGCUAGGGUGGGGGAGCGCCCUACCCCCUGGGCGCGCCCCCUACCUCGUGGCCGCCUCGGAGACCCCCCUGACUUGUUCCCGACGCCAACACCUCUUAUAUGUACCCAAACUUCUAGAACAUAACCUAGAUCGGGAGUUCCGCCGCCACUAGCCUCUGUAGCCACCAAAAACCAAUUGGGACCCUGUUCCGGCACCCUGCCGGAGGGAGGAUCCAUCACCGGUGGCCAUCUUCAUUGUAGCGAUUUGACCUCAGACGGUCAAAUCUCUGUGUUCAGUGUCAUCCCUGGAUCGGUAAUGCUGACACACACAGUACUUGAAGGAUUUAUAACAGAGUAGCAAUCACACACUUAUUACAUCGGUAGUCUCAAAAGAGAACUUAUUACAAUAAAUAUGGCUUAAGGCCAUAUAACUAAGAUAACAGCGGAAGGCUUGGAAGAUAAAGUGAGUCCAUCAACUCCAACGACAUAGCUCAGUGCAUGACAACGACCUAGCGCACCUUACUCUUCGUAUGGAAAGUCUGCAACAUGAUAUGUUGCAGCCCGAAAACGGGUCAGCACAUGGAAUAUGCUGGAAAUAUAACACAAUAGAGCAAAGAACAGAUAAAUGCUAUCACUACAUGCAUAUAUGGCUGGUGGAGGCUCUAUGAUUAUAAUGUUUUGCGAAAAGCCAAUUUUUUUCCUACAACAAAGGAAUAUGUUUUAUUUAACUAUCAUGGUGGUUGAAACAUCAUUGAGAAGGUUCCUCCAACUCAAUCCCAAUUAAAAUAAUCAUUAACAUCCGAACAAAUUAAUUUAGAGUGAUGAGAUCAAAUCAAUAGUUCAAGUACCAGAUACUCAAGAUGUCCAUAACCGGGGACACGGCUAACCAUGUUUAGUUUGUACACUCUACAGGGGUUUGCGCACUUUUCCCCAUAAGACUUGAUCUCCUCCGUUGGAUUUCUUGCACUACAUGGUGUUUGAGAAACGGAUGACCGAGACACAGUCUUUCAGAAACAUUAACUCUUUACUCUGGGUGGACAGUUACACCUACUUUCCCCUACAUCUGCUAGCCCACCACUGAAAGAGGUCAUACAACAUACUCAACUAUGCUAGAGUCCAUAAUAGCUUGUGGCUGCACACGGAAGUUUCUAGCAUGAAUAGUCUUAUGAUCCCUUCGAGCCUGGGUGGCGAACCAGAGGAUGAUCACACGGGUACUCCGGGAUAUCCUAGGACAACACUGGAUUCUCCAGGUGCCCAAACCAACAAUCCACCCAGAUGUGUAUUAAAGUAACGACCUUAAUACAACCAUUAAUUAAACACUCACAUCUAUCAUGGAUCUCUCAAACCAAACCACGUCUACGAGCAUAGCAUAGCAACAUAAGCAUAACAUAGAAGUAACUCCCAGGGUUUGAAUAUAAACAAGGCAAUAGGUUCUACCUCAUCAUCUACUUCCCAAUACCCACAUGUUAUCAAUUCCUAACCAUGCAAUGUUUGAGGGUUGAAACUAAUGCAUAAAAAUUGGGUAUGAAAAGAAUAUGAUCAAUGUGUUACUUGCCUUGCUGACGAUCCACAAAACCUAGUGACUCGUAGUAGCACGCUUCGCACUCCGGGAAUUCUAUCGCAAACAAACAAUAACAUACAUAAGCACUCAAGCAAAUAUGCACAGGUAAAACUCAAAUAAGAAGAUCGAAUCUGAAAACUCAACUGAAGAGAUUCGAUCUGCAAAAAGAAUCAAUCGAAUUGGAGCUACGGAACUGAAACUACGGUCAAAAGAACUUCGAAUUCAAAUCUGCUUGAAACCAAAAUUUUAAAUUGUAGAAACCAUGUUCAAGUUGAUUAAACAGAAAGAGAGGUUUGAGAUGAAGAUUUUGGCGUUGGUUUCACUGGAUUUGGACAAACGGUUAAGAAACGGCGAGGGUUUGAAGAUCAGGGGCUAAUCUACGAUAAAAGUAAUCACAGAUAGGUCCCUGGCCGAAAAAUAAAAUAAAGAGAAAAAGACUAACGAAUGAACAUUCGCUGUCUGAACCUAACCGGCGAACAACGUUCGUUAAAACGAACGAACGGACGAACGUCCACUAAAUAAAUAAACCGGCGAAAAGCCGAACCGAUCUAAAAAAAUAAACCGAUUUAGGGUUUUUAAGAAAACCGGGGUUUUUACCUAAAAAAAGCAAAAAAAC